rnacentral:lncRNA from 1 species
UGAGCAAAAAGGACCAUGUUUUAGUUUUCAUUUGCGCGGGCAUAUUCAAGAAAAACAUAUCGUCAGGCGGGCUUGGUUGUAAGGCACAUAUGGCACAUAUGGUAGCUCCUUGAUGUAUCUUUUAACAUGUCUCCGGUCCGAGGGUCGACAUUCUGGGGGGAAAGCAGCAUGUGGAAAGAAAAGGGAGAACUGCUUUUUUAACAAAAACACAGGGAUCGACAAGCUCUGUAUUGUGUAUGUCUUUUCUACAUGAUGAUUCGAUCUUUCUUUGCGUAGCAGCCUCGUGCUUUGGUUACUAGUACUAGGCCAGAAAUGAUGAUGGUGCCUCCCCUCCCGUUGUACCAGUGUACAUGCCAACAUUUACUUGGUCGUUUUCUUUGUGGUUUCAAAUUUGCUUCAUUCGCAUAAGCUGCCUGGGAAUUAUUUUUCUUCAUUCUGCAUGUAAGUUUGGUUUGGAAUUUUCUUUAGAAAUCGUGUGUUUCAAUGCAUGCCUAGUUUCCAUUUAUUCACAGAAAGUAUCAUUUGCACCAGAAGGGAAACAAAGCCCUGCCCGUUCAACAGCUCACUGGCAAUGGCCCAAUGGUACUGUACACCUUCUGUGUGAUGUUGUUCCGUUCAGGGGACGGUCCGGAACAACACAACAAAUUUCACAUGAAUUUAGUCGAUUGCACUCGGCGUCGAAGACAUCAAACGGAUCGCCGUCACAUGAAAGGCGCAUAGAGAAAAUUAACGUCACAUCAAAAGUGCAGCACCAUAUGGAAAUAGACAUCACAAGUCCACGUAGGUAGAAACGCACGGCGCACAACAAAUUUCACACGAAUUUUGGCCGAUUUCCGCCAAACAGGUCGAGAGCAGCACGGAGAUCCGUUCGAAUUUCCACGGUUCCCUCCACUGAAAUUUACGAAACAAAGCUCUCCCGCCACCGAGUGGCCCUCUUAAUCGACCUCCCCGCCGCCAGAUCUCCAUCCUGCGGUCUCUCGCAGUCGCCCCCAUCCUCCCCUGCUCUGAAACGCCAAAUCCCACCUGGCCACCUCCCCUGCGUUCCCUCCAUUCCCCCAAAUCCCGAUCCCCCUAACCCUAGCCAGCUUCUCCCGCCGCGCCGUCGCCAUGGAUUUCACGGCCCCCUCCUUCUCCCUCGGCCUCGACCUCGACGACCCGACCCCCGCCGACGCCGACGACGGAGGCGACCCGCGCGAGGAGGCGCGAGGGUACGAGGCGCCCGACGCGCCGUCCUUCUCUCUGGGUCUCGAUUUCGAGUGCUACGACGACGACGACGGCGACGAGCCCCGGAUCCCUGCCGGGGGCCGCUCUGAGGGGGUCGCGCAACGGUACGAGGCGCCUGACGCCCCCUCGUUCUCGCUCGGCCUCGGCUUCGACGACGACGACGGGGGCGCCGGCGAGCCCCAGAUCCCCGCUGGAGCCCGCCGGGAGGAGCGGCCGCGGCGUUACGAGGCGCCCGACGCGCCCUCGUUCUCCCUCGGAUUGGACGACGACGACGACGGGGGGGGGAGCCAGCGAACCCCACCACCUCCCCGCUGGAGGCCGCCGGAAGGAGCAGGCGCCGCGCUACGAGGCGCCCGACGCGCCCUCGUUCUCCCUCGGACUCGACGACGACGACGACUUUGCCGGCGGAACCCUUGACCCGGACCCCCUGCCUCCGCAACCGGAGACGAAUCGACUGAAGAGGUUGCGGAGGGGUCCUGCGCCGGGUUACGAGGCGCCCGACGCGCCCUCGUUCUCACUCGGAAUCGACGACGACGACAACUUCGUUGCCGGCGGAGCCCUUGACCCGGACCCCCUGCCUCCGCAGCCGGAGACGAAUCGACUGAAGAGGUUGCGGAGAGGCCCUGCACCGCGUUCUAUGGCGCCUCCUCCUCCUCCUCCUCCUCCUCCUCCUCCUCCUCCUCCUAGGGCAGCACCGCCCCUGGCUACGGAAGCAUCUCCGGAUUUCAGCCGGAAGGCGGCACCACUUGGGGAUAUUGGGAGCUACGAGGACGAAAUUGAAGAUUUCAGUGACGAGGAGCCACCACGAGGUGAGGGAAACGCUGGUCUCUAUUUGUGGAAUUUCUGUUCAAUUCUCUUACUUAAGAGGUGUUUGUUACUAAUCAUGCAAUUGUGAUUAAUUAUCUCCACAUGCCUGUGUAAAUCAGUGAAUCUAUUGCUGGAUAUCUUCCAUAGAAAUAUGCAUAGUUGAUUCCUUGUGUAGUCUACUAGUAUGUGAAAAAAUUGAAUGAACAAUGGAAAUGCUGACUCUAUUUGUUCAAUUUUGUGGCAACGUAGUUCGUUUUUGUACACAUAACCAGGUAGUGUAGCAUCUAGAUAUUUAAACAUACCUUCAGAAAUCAUGGGAUCAUUUUUGGUUAUUUUUAGUAUUAGUAUUGAAAAUUGAUUCAUUCUGGAUCUGUAUGGUGACAAAAACAGCUGAAAUUUACCUAAUCUGCCUUGCACACAGAUUGAUUUCACAAUAUCAUCUGCUGUUUCCCUCCUAGACCAGACAUUUUCAGCAUAAGAAGAAAGAAACAGUUUCAUAUAUUAUGUCUGCUUGAUGAACAAUGAUUAAAAUCCAUUCAAUUGCAAUUUUGAUCCAUGACAGCAAAGUGCCCAACAAGCAACUGCUAGCCCAAUAUACAUGCAAAGUUUGCUCCGGUAAAUAGUUAUUUUCCACCAUUUUUUUUGCGCACGUCGGUAAACACAGUUUUGCUCAGUGCUGUUAUUUAACACACUUCAUUUGCUAGAGCAAACUGCCUCUACUAAAAAAAUCUUUUCCUAGCCUAAGCAUUUCAGAGAAAUUAUGUAAACAGCACAGUUUCUUGCCUAUUGUGGCUUAGACCACACUUGAACUGACUGAAUCGACCUGCUUCAUUUCUCUGGUGAUAUUAUCAGCAUUCUGUUAUUAUGUGGAUGAACCUUUAACUACUUUCUAUGCGAUGUAGCUGAAACUGAAUCAUCUGAGUAUGUUGAACCUUAAUAAUAUGCAGUGUUUUCAUUUGGUGCUCACAUGCCCUGUGCCAACUUUUUUCCUGAAACGUGGCUGCAAAAAGUUGAAUUAUUCAUGCUGAAAUGUUCUCAUUUUUUUGGUUAAAAAUGUGUUUUGUUUAGCUUGUAGCAUUCUGAAAUGAAAUUAUCAACAGCCACUGUGAGCAAAUCCUGAUAUGAACGAAAAAAAUUAAGUGUUUUCUCUCAACUGUUAGGUUAGGAAGAGAUUUUAAAUUGAGGUGCUGUGUUCCAGAAAAUGAAUUUGUUUCGUAGUGUACUGAGCAGAUAUGUGUUUUUGUGUUGUCAGUAAAGGGAGUAAAUAGCGGUGUGCUCAAACAAAUUUUAUGUAGACAUGAUCCUUUUCCUUUAGCUCCCUGUUUUUAAUCCAUGCAUUGACAACAUCGGCAAUAAAGUUGUUGUUAUGUUUUUCCUUUGAGAACCUUUAGCACUUGUAUUUAAGUCAUCUUCUCUUAUCUACUUGCAGGCAUGACACCAUCAGUUGGUAGUUGCAGGACUUCUAGCAAUUCAAAAUUCUCUCUUCUGAACCGCAGUGUACUGAUGACUCAAUCAACAAGCAAAGCCAAGACAACAAAAUCUACACCAAUGUCAAAUUCUGUUGCUUCAAAACCCCUAGAAGAAAGCUGCACGAAGAAGCUACUUCCUAAGAUAACAAUAAGCCCACUGAGGAAAAUUUAUUUUGUUGAUUCGGACACUGAUUCAGAUGAUAACAGGAAACAAAGUAAACCAAAGAAGCCCAUGAGUCCUAUCAAGAAGAGACAGGAAUCCGUGCACAAGUAUAUGCAGAAGAAGCCUGUAUCGCAGCAAAACAGUAAAUCUGAAGGGAGCACUGUUGUCCAGAAGAGUGAAGAUAUACUGAAGGACAGUUGGGCGACACCUGCUCUUGAUGACUUCUGCAGCGAGUAUUUCAAAUCUGUCCAACACUCAACACCAUCCCAGCAGACAAAAACCAACAGUUUUUCUGGCUCCAAGGUUUCACGACCAUACAGCUCUGUUAGUGAAAUUGGGGAACAUUUCCAGCAUGAAAGCACUUCAACCGGAGUUGUACUCGAAGAGAAUCUGACGGACAACCAUCCACCUGCCAUGCAUUAUUUCUGUCACCGUGAUCAGAUGGUGCAGAACCUGGUCCGUGAAAGAUUAAAGCACUUUGUUCCCAUUGGGGCUGGCACUUCCGAGGGAAAUGAGUACAUUGUAGAAGAAAAUCUGAACUACAGGUAAGACACAUCAUAAUCCAUGCUUUAAUUUCUUGGUAGUGUCAUUUGCUAAUUGUUGUUCUUUUGCUUCUUUUUAGUAGGAGCCGGUUUGGCCAGAGUAGUGGUGCUAAUGAUCGGUGGGUGACUCCCAACAGUAGGACUUCUGUCCCAACAGAUUUUGGCAAAAGAAGGGUACAUGCUGGGGGAAGUCAGUCUGGCUCUGGCCAUUGGUUCACUGGAGAGGAUGGCAGGAAGGUAAGAAUGUUUAAUUUUCAGAGUUCCAGUUAAUUUUCUGUAAGAGCUUGUUUGAUUGCUACCCUGCGUGCUUCAUGCUGGGCCUGGAGGCCCCCUGGAACCUGCCUGAGAGCUGUUAAUGUCCUGAACAAGUUUUUGAUAAAAUGAAGGCCUUCUAGCCACUUCUGUUUUAGUGCUAUGCAUUCAUCACUUGCUUCAUUAAUCUUAUUAUUGCUGCAGGUUUAUGUCUCUAAAAAUGGACAGGAGUUAACUGGCCGUGAUGCCUAUAAACAAUACAGAAAGGUAAAAUGCUUCUCUAUUCUGAAAAUUAACAAAGAUACAUCUACUUUCUCCUGGUUUAUUCUGUGCUCAUAUAUCCGUUUUGGGAAAAAAAUCUGUGCUCAUAUAUGAAAACCAUUUAUCCGCCAUUCUGCCUUAUUAUAGCCCUAGGAAAUGAACUUCUUUGCAAUCUUAAUACGGUUACUGUAGGGAUUGUUUAUUCUAUAGCUUCAGCAUGGUAAGCUAGGAGAAGAUAAAUCAGUUGAGCUGCACCCCAGUGUGGCUGGGAUGAUUGUUUGGCUCCUGCGCUCUAAAACCUAAGCUGAAAAUACUUAUAAUAUUGAGGUUAAUUUCUUCGUUAAAUAUUUUAGUACUUUCAGUUGAAGCUAUCCAGAUUCACUACAUGUAAUCUUGUCGGAGUAAGAAAAGUAGGGAGGAUAUUACCAGUUGGAUGCUUACCGUAGAUAUGAUCUCUACAUGAGAUUAUUUAACACCUAAACAUGUUGUCUGCCAGACUAGGUGAGAUUUUCUCUGCUCCCUUGCUGAAUGGGGAGAAUUGAUCUGGUUCUCCUUUCCAGGCAAGGAUAUGUGGGCGGUUAUGAGCAUUGAACAAACUUGCUUAGGAAAGCUUGUUUUCUUUGAAAAAGUAUUGUUCUCUUUGCUAAGCAAGGCUAGAAUUUAGCCUGUUUGAGAUUCAAACAAACCACACAUGUGUAUAUGUGAUGGUGUGUGUUAUUUGGGUUCCAUGGAAAUGUUUAAGAAAAACAUUGGUCAAUCAAUCCUAGAAUCUUUCCUGGAAGUGAUAAAACCAGUGUUUUUUAGAGUAGCGUGAUGCCAACGGGUCAAUGGAAAUAACCUUAUUCCCUUCACUGCAUUAUUGGUACUGCUAUCUGACUAAAUGUUCCCUGCAGGAAAGCGGCAAGGGAUUUCGCAACUUCAAGAAGAAGAAAAGUACAGUCAAGAAGGAAGGUUCUGCUAGAGCCAAACGGGGUUCUUCUACGGCAAACAAGGCCAGUUCCAGUUCCACAGCAAAGCGAAGCUCAGGAGCCAAAAGGAAGCGAUGAGGUGAAGAGGUCGGUUGGUGGCCCAGUUUUUUUUCCCCCACAAUAGAGAAGAGGUCACUGUAAUUAGUUGCUUUGCCCUGUGCAUUUCAUCUCUCAGAGAUACAAAAGAUUAUGCUACGGUCGCCUGUUCUCCUCUGUCAAUAUGAACACACUACAACCUUUGGUCGAAACCCUUCUUUGUUAUUAAGGUGAUCCGAACCACUCAACUGUGUAAACUGCUGUUGUUAAGGGACGAAAGGACGGGCGUGUUUGCUCUUUAUGGAGGUGAUGGAUAGGACAUUAUGGGUCUUAAUGCAUGUUUUGUGAUAAUUUGUAUUCCUUUAUACUCUGCAGUAUGUAAGUUUGAGUUAAUAUCAGUAGUUCAACGCAGCUGAACUCAGCAUGGAAAAUGAUGGAAGUAUGAUAGACUCGAGGAACCGUUUUCGUUUGACAUUGGAAUAUUUUAUUGCAACUUUGAAAACGUUUGACUGAUCUGCCAUUGACCACACAAAUAAUUGUAAAUCUAACAAACAUCAACCACCACUAAAAUUUUAAAAUAUUACUCCCUCUGUAAACAAAUAUAAUAAGAUCAAUAAAGUACCUUCACAUGGAGAAACACUGAAGCCGUCAUCGGCCUUGACAAAAGUACCUCCACCAUUUCUCCAGCAUUCUUCACCAAUAUUUUGAACAGCUGUAAACUGUUGCAACAUAUUUCCCAUUGCAUUGAAUAAUAAAAUCCUUUUGUUUUUAAUCCCGCUGUUUUGAUAGCCUGAGAUGCCUGCUCAAUGAAAAACCAUCCAUGCCUUCAUACAACGACCUGGGAACUUUCCCCCAAGCUGAUACCGUGGAAGCUAAUAAUUAAUGCUAAAAACCGUGAUGGUCGGCCGAUUGCCGGUUCUUUUGAAGUCAUCACCACUUUAGCAUACGUUAGACGGUAAGAAAGGAGUAUAAUCCAAACCGUGCAAAAGCAUCCCGAUGACAGGAAUUCAGUGAUUUCAGUUUUCAAAGGACCGGAAUUUCCAUUUGAAUUUGAUUGAGAUCUAACUAAUAUUUUGCUUUAUAAACUAAUUUGAUCAUUUGCGUACUACUGCGAUUGCUGAAACAACAAAGGUUGUAGAGGGCAAUGCUUCUCAACACAGCAAUCCCACAAACAAAACGGGAUCAUUUGCUUGGGGGUCCUAUAAAAAAGGUCAUUAAGAGAUAAAUGGGCUCUAAAGGCCAGAACGAAAACCUUGUAUUUAUUUUAGAGUUCAAUGGCUGCCCAAAGCUGGUGCAACUCGUCACUUACCCCUGUCUCCAUGCCCUCGGCCACCAUCUCACCAAGGUGAAUGCUUUCGUAGCCAUCAUAUCCAUUGAAGUAUUGUGCCGAGUCUUCCAUUAUGAGAAGACACCGAGAAAUACUUUGCACACGCGUUGAUGGAGAAUGUGGAUGAGGAAACAACGACAAAGGUAAUGUGCGCUCCCGGUAGGCCAGGCAGUGUUGCUAAGGCCCUCAGGCACGUAGACUGGUCGAAGGCAGCAUGGUAUCUUCUCAAGCCUUCGCACCCCGAAGUCUCCUGUUUCCAUUUCAUAUUGAUUGUUCCUUUCCCGAUGUCUCCUACUCUUAAGCUAUAACCUGAUCCCUUUUUUUGGUGUUGUUUUGCAUUACUUUUGCUAACAAUUGAUGACGAGGGUGUCGAGCCUCAGUGACUGGAGAAUGGAGGCAGCACACUUGAUCGGUGGUCGUAAUGAAUUGUUUUCCCUUGCAUUUUUCUAUUGGUAGCUUGAAAUAGAAAAAGGAUGGUGAAAUGACUCGUGAUGCAUAUAGUGGAUGCACCCGAUCACUAGUGGUAUAUAUAACUAGUUGGUUCUGCAAGGUGCGGUUGCUGAAACCAUUUAUCGUUUAUCAAUGUCACACUCACACACACACACAGAACUACCCCAAACACGAGUGCCAUUACGUUGCGAGCCUGUGCCGAUUCAUUCCUCACAUGUCAUGUUCUUACAAACACAGGUUAUGAAAUGAAAGAGAAGACAACUACCAAUAUAACAAAGCUCACAGAAAAAAGAACACUCAACUAGAAAUGCCCGGCCAUUCGCUUCGCUGCAAAAACAGUGAAACGCUAUGCAUACUCCAUCGGCUAGAUUACGAGCCAUCUAAGUCAAAUGUCCAUAUUGUCCAACAACAUAAAGGCCCCACACUGCCGCGCACACACACACACACACCAACAGUCGCAGCACACUAGUUCUACUGAAAAAGAAGCCAUGGUUGGCAAGAGGAAGGAGAUCGAUAGAGGCGAAAAAGUCGAAGCGGCCAGCAUUGCCGCACUAUGCAUUUUCCUCGUCUGAUGUUGUCCUGGCAGCAGCAGGUGGCCGCCAUGUCCAAGUUAUAUGGCCGCCAUGGCUAUGCCUGAUCCACGAUAGUGUGUUAAUUUGACUUCAAUUUGGCCUAUCCUUGCAUGGAUGAUCCAAACAUAUUGUGUAUAUUUAUUUGCGAGGAGUGAGAAAUCUCAUUUUAAUAUAUUUAAAGAAUAAAUCAAAAUCCAAAUGCUUGCCAACUCAUUGAAGCUGGAGGAGGGCAAGGGGACAAAGUAGCAUAAGAUGAUUGUGAGUUUCUUUCUUUCUUUUUGCGACUGAAGAACAUGUUAAAGUUGUUGGCCUGGAGCUCACUUGAUCCAGGAUGGAAAAUCACAGAAACAUCACAGAUAACUUUUUGUUGACCAAAAAGGUAACUGUGUAGCCAUUAAUUUGACUGAAUCUAAAAUUCAGAUGCUAUUUUAUUACUUCAAACUCGUGUCUCCAGAGUUUCAGAACACAGAUCAGUAUGACUGAUGAAAAAAAACACUACUUAAAUUCAGGGAAUGUUUCUGCAUAUAACCAAAUAGAAACGCAACUCUGCAUCAGAUCAGUAUCCCCCUACUCAUUUUGACCUCAGCGCGCUGCGUGGUAUAGACAGAAAUUUUGGUGCCCAUUCAGCAAAAAANNNNNNNNNNNNNNNNNNNNNNNNNNNNNNNNNNNNNNNNNNNNNNNNNNNNNNNNNNNNNNNNNNNNNNNNNNNNNNNNNNNNNNNNNNNNNNNNNNNNNNNNNNNNNNNNNNNNNNNNNNNNNNNNNNNNNNNNNNNNNNNNNNNNNNNNNNNNNNNNNNNNNNNNNNNNNNNNNNNNNNNNNNNNNNNNNNNNNNNNNNNNNNNNNNNNNNNNNNNNNNNNNNNNNNNNNNNNNNNACGUCACUGAAUUUGACAAGCAGCAAACAAUGAGGCACGGAGGUUCAUUUCUGUCUUCCUGAAGUAAUGCAACAACGUCUGACCGAAACAGUGAAGAACUGAAGCUGAUCAUCAAUUGCACUACGGAGUUUCUUGUUUCCAUUUGAUAUUGAUUGUUCGUUUCCCAAUGUCUCCUACUCUUAAGCUAUAACCUGAUCCAUUUUUUGUGUUGUUUUGCAUUAUUUUUGCUAAUAAUUGAUGACGAAGGUGUCGAGCCCAGCACACUUGAUAGGUGGUCGUAACUCGUAACUAACUGUUUUCCCUUGCAUUUUUUCUACUGGCGGCUAGUGUGAUAGAAAAGAAUGAUGAAAUGACUCGUGAUGCAUAUAGUGGAUGCACUCGACCCCUAGUGGUAUAUAAAUGGUUGGUUCUGCAAGGUACGGUUGCUGGAACCAUUUAUCUUUUAUCAAUGUCACACUCACACACACACAACUACUACAAACACGAGCGCAUUUACACUGUGGGCCUGUCACAAUUCAUUCCUCACAUGUGACAUUCUUACACACACAAGUUAUGAAAUGUUUGCAUAUAUCAAUACUAAAAGUUGAGAUUGCUAACCAGACCUACUGCCCGGUUACACAAGUUAUGAAAUGAAAGAGAAGACAACUACAAAUAUAACAAAGCUAGCCACAUGUGUAAAAGACCGCACAUGUAUCAAAGUCAAGAUUCUUGAGUUCAAGGCCCAUCGGACACAAUGAAGAAGUUGUAGCGUACUUCGGUUGAGAUUUAGGUUUGAAAGAGCCAUAUGUGAGGGGAGUGUUCAAUUGUACGUUUCUCCAACAAUUUGAGAUUACAUUUUAACUGGCUGGCCUCAUUGCAUCAAAACCGUAUUCAGUUUUCUUUUAAUAUCAACACAGGCAGCCUCAUAAGGAAGUGCUAUUUCAGAUUCAACAAAAUCUGAGUACCAUGUGCUUGUGUUACCGGUUUAAGAUUCAAGAUUUUAUUUUCGGGUGCACCAUUAGAGGCUAGCUUGUGACAGUAAGAAAACAAAGCCCCAUUUUGUUCCAAAAAACUGACUACCAUGGCAAGAAUUGGCUAGAGAACACUCAACUAGAAAAUGGCGACCAUUCAAUUUGCUGCAAAAAUAGUGAAACACUAUGCAUACUCCAUCGGCAAGAUUAUGAGUCAUCUAGGUCAAAUGUCCAUAUUGUCCAACACUACAUAAGGCCCCACACUGCCUCACACAGUCACACACACGCACCAACAGUCGCAACACACUAGUUCUACUGAAAAAGAAGCCAUGGUUGGCAAGAGGAAGGAGAUCAAUAGAGGCGAAAAAGUCGAGAGCGGCCACCAUGCUAUUUUAUUACUUUCGAACUCAGGUCUCCAGAGUUUCAGAACACAGAUCUGAAACAAAAAGCAAACAAAAAGAUACAAAUCACUAUUCAGUAUGACUGAUGAAAACGCACACUUAAAUUCAGAGAACGUUCCUGCAUGUAAAAAAAUAAAAAACAGAAACACAACUAAUUUUGACCUCAGCGAACUGCAUGGUAGAGACAGAAAUUUUGGUGCCUAUUCAGCAAAACACACACGAAAUUCUACAUCAACGAAUUUCACAAGCAGCAAACAAUGAGGCACGCAGGUUCAUUCCUGUCUUCCUGAAGCAAUGCAACAAUGUCUGACAAAAACAGUGAAGAUCUUUCUGUAAGCCCAAAUAUCAUUCACACGACACACCCAUAGCAGUCUACUGUAAUGUUUGCUUAGAGAUUGAUUCAUGAAUUUCCGAUAUUUACCUCAGCUAGUAGAUUAUCUCCUAAUCUUUCUUGCUGGGAAGAAUUUAACAAGCUUACAGAAACAUAUCGAGAGAUGCGUCCAAGAUAACUAAUGCCGACUCUGAUUUCAUUGCAUUCAUAUUCAUGGCGUCCACUACCACACAGACCGAUGGAACAGCAGCUGGCAGAGACUGGACGGAGCAGCAGCAGCAGAUCAGCCGCCGAAGCCGUAGAGGGUGCGGCCCUGUCGCUUGAGCGCGUAGACGACGUCCAUGGCGGUGACGGUCUUGCGGCGGGCGUGCUCGGUGUAGGUGACGGCGUCGCGGAUGACGUUCUCGAGGAAGAUCUUGAGCACGCCGCGGGUCUCCUCGUAGAUGAGCCCCGAGAUGCGCUUCACGCCGCCCCGCCGCGCCAGCCGCCGGAUCGCCGGCUUCGUGAUGCCCUGGAUGUUGUCCCGCAGCACCUUCCGGUGGCGCUUGGCGCCGCCCUUGCCCAGACCCUUCCCGCCCUUGCCGCGGCCGGACAUGAUGGUGGCUUGGAGCGCCGAGCAGAUGCAAUUGGGUGGAGACGGCGGAGCGGCGGCGGCGGCGGCUGCUGCUCCGGAGUGAGAAUCGAAGGGGAAUUUAACAAGGGAGGAGGGUGCGGCCUGCCCUUGGAUCCGGACGAAAAUGGACGGCCAGGAUCUCGAUCCGAGGAGAGAUGGCGCGGAUCGCUGACGCGGUCUCAAAUGUCAUCGUCCAGCGAGGCGGGAGGGAGCUCAAAAUAUUGGAUUUUGCCGGUUCCAAGCGCGCCAUUUGCUUUCUUGCCACAAAAUUCGUGUGUUCGUUCAUCAUCUGAGAACUGACAACCAAGGAAAUUAUAGAUUUCAUGGCAUUUAUAAUUGCCGGCACUCUGAGGGUGCUGGUCUGCCUCAUUCAUAGGGAUUUAUUAGGGCAAAGCUUCCUUCUCUCGAUCUCCGCUGGCAAACAUGUAGAUUUGCCCAUCCAGAUCUUCAUCGGCAAACACGUGGAUUCGCCCACCCUCUAUCUGCCGUUUCAGCGGGUGGUGGCAGGGAGGGGAAUCCUUGUGCCUCGGCUCCCAUAAGUACAUACUUCAUAUAUUUUCAUCUACUCCUUAUAUUAGCUUUGACCAAAUUUAUUGAAAACAAUCUAAACUUUCACAUUAACAAAUAUAUAUGUUAUGAAAUGAUUCUAAUAAUAUUGAUUUGCUAUUGUGGAUGUUAACAACGUUUUGUAUAAACUUAGUCAAAGUUUAUAAGUUUGACUCGAGACAAAGCUAAUAUGUCAAGUAAAUGGAAACAAAAUGAGUAGGUUGGAUUUUAGUCCUUUUAGAGUAACUCUAGCAGAUUCCCGCAAUAAUUGACCCGCAAAACGCGUUCGCAGUUUCACGAAGAUCGCGUUUGCGGGUCGAAAAUAUGCACAGGCGAUCAGAUACCGUAUCUAAACUUGCAUAAUUUGAGAAAACACUUUCGCGGGAGAAAUUGCACAAAUAUAGUUCAUCACAUCACAUACUACAGAGUUCAUACAUACUACAUGAUCAACAAAUUAAGCAUACAUCAUCCUACAUGCUACGUUAACUAGUAGUAGAGGGGGUCGGAUCUGACGGCGGCGAGGUCGCGGCAAAAUGGACGACGCUGUGGAGGCCGAGCGAUGCUCAAUCCUCCUCGCCGGAGCUGCACAGGUCGACGUACUUCGCCGCCUGCUCCGCGCGGAUGCGGCGCCACUCCUCAGCCUUCUCGUUGGCGGCGAAGUUGUCGGCGACCGCCUGCCGCCACUCGAGGGCUUCGAUCUCCUCGGUGUGGCGCCGGCGCUCCGCCUCCUCGCGCACGCUCCGCUCGGCGAUGGCGGCAGCAACGGCGUCGAAGUCCGUGACGUAGUCCUCAGGCCCGACGACUCCGCGACGGCCGAGCGGAGCGGGCUCCUCGGGCUCCUCCUUCACCGAGACGAAGGCGAACGACGUCGGCUCCUCCGGCUCCUCCUCGUCGUCCGACCACUCCCUCUUCAUGGGGAGAAAGCCCGCGCUGGAGGACGAUGAGGAUCUGGCGUAGGAAGACCUCAUGGAGGAGAAGGACGCGCGCCGGCGGUCGUACUCCUCCAUCUCGCGGUGGUUGAAGCUCGCCAGCGGCGACAUCCCGUGGUUGGUCCACUUCCGGGCGCCGCGCUUCCUCACGCCGUCCGACCGGACGCGCCGCUCGCGCUCCGGGUCCCUCUCACGGCCGGAUCUGCUGCCGGAGCCUCGUCCGGAGCUCCACAUUCGGCCACACAUGGCGGCUGGAGGCGGGGCGGGUGGUCACCGGCGGCGAGAAAUGUGGAGAGGGGAAGGGGAAUCGGGUGGCUCGCGGCGGUGGGGGAUAGGGUUUGGACCCACAAAAGGGUCGCGAAACCGCAAUUAUAGUGCUCGGGGCGUGCGGUUUGCGGGCUGCGGCAAAAAAAAUUGCGGGCCGGGCGAGUACGCGGGCUCUGUUCUGACCAAAAAAUUGGGCCGAGCCCGCAUACUCGCCGAAAUUUUUGCGGGCUGGGCGUUUUGCGAGGUCUGCUAGAGUUGCUCUUAGAGGCGACACUUUAUCUUUGAGUCAAUUUUUGAGCUCCGAUCCUCCUUAAGUUCGUCCUUUGGGGCAGAUUAGACGGAGCUUCGACAUAGAUUCCCGUCGACUCGUCGAGGCGGCAAAGUUAGGAUUCUGGUUGUGCGUACUCUGUGACGAGAUUUGGCGUCAGGUUCUUUGGGCCGAUUCAAGGGUUCAACGGUGACGACUACACCUCCGGAGACUUCUUGGCUAUUAUUGGUAAGGCCAAGCAGGCUCUGGUAUGGAAGCGUCAACAACAGCGCAUCAGCAACGACAAUAGUCGGUCAGUAAUCCAGAGCCUUCAAUGUAAUUUUUUAUUAUAUUUUUAUGAUGAUUUGUGCUUUGGUGAACAUUUAUGAUAGAUCUAAGUCACUUUCGUAAAAUAAAAAUAAAAAUCCACCCCACACCCCCAUCCUUGCGGAUGAAGAAAUACUAUUUGGCGCUAUUGUAAUUAUCUUUAGACGAACGGACAUAGACUAUACACGGACUCUCUGCCGCGCAAUGGCGAAGGUUACAUUAUGGCGACCCUGCGGCAUUUGCUAAUUGUGGCCUAUAGGUAUGGGAUAGAUGAAGGAAAUAUGCCCUAGAGGCAAUAAUAAAGUUAUUAUUUAUUUCCUUAUAUCAUGAUAAAUGUUUAUUCAUGCUAGAAUUGUAUUAACCGGAAACAUAAUACAUGUGUGAAUACAUAGACAAACUUGUGUCACUAGUAUGCCUCUACUUGACUAGCUCGUUAAUCAAAGAUGGUUAUGUUUCGUAACCAUGAACAAGGUGUUGUUAUUUGAUUAACGAGGUCACAUCAUUAGUUGAAUGAUCUGAUUGACAUGACCCAUUUCAUUAGCUUAGCACCCGAUCGUUUAGUAUGUUGCUAUUGCUUUCUUCAUGACUUAUACAUGUUCCUAUGACUAUGAGAUUAUGCAACUCCCGUUUACCGGAGGAACACCUUGUGUGCUACCAAACGUCACAACGUAACUGGGUGAUUAUAAAGGAGCUCUACAGGUGUCUCCAAAGGUACAUGUUGGGUUGGCGUAUUUCGAGAUUAGGAUUUGUCACUCCGAUUGUCGGAGAGGUAUCUCUGGGCCCUCUCGGUAAUGCACAUCACAUAAGCCUUGCAAGCAUUGCAGCCAAUGAGUUAGUUGCGAGAUGAUGUAUUACGGAACGAGUAAAGAGACUUGCCGGUAAUGAGAUUGAACUAGGUAUUGGAUACCGACGAUCGAAUCUCGGGCAAGUAACAUACCGAUGACAAAGGGAACAACGUAUGUUGUUAUGCGGUCUGACCGAUAAAGAUCUUCGUAGAAUAUGUAGGAGCCAAUAUGGGCAUCUAGGUCCCGCUAUUGGUUAUUGACCGGAGACGUGUCUCGGUCAUGUCUACAUUGUUCUCGAACCGUAGGGUCCGCACGCUUAACGUUACGAUGACAAUUAUUAUGAGUUUAUGCAUUUUGAUGUACCGAAGAUUGUUCGGAGUCCCGGAUGUGAUCAUGGACAUGACGAGGAGUCUCGAAAUGGUCGAGACAUAAAGAUUGAUAUAUUGGAAGCCUAUGUUUGGAUAUCGGAAGUGUUCCGGGUGAAGUCGGUAUUUUACCGGAGUACCGGGAGGUUACCGGAACCCCCCGGGAGCUGUAUGGGCCUUAAUGGGCUUUAGUGGAAAGGAGAAGGGGCAGCCCAAGAUGGGCCGCGUGCCUCCCCCCUCCCCUAGUCCUAUUAGGACAAGGAGAGGUGGCCUCCCCCCCUCUCUCGCUCCCCCUCAGCAAAUCCUACUCCAACUAGGAUUGGGGGAGGAAUCCUACUCCCAGAAGGAGUAGGACUCCCUUGGCGCGCCCUCCUUGGCCGGCCGGCCCCCUCCCCUUGGCUCCUUUAUAUACGGAGGCAGGAGGCACCCCUAGACACACAAGUUGAUCAUUGAGAUCGUUCCUUAGCCGUGUGCGGUGCCCCCUGCCACCAUAUUCCACCUCGAUUAUAUUGUAGCAGUGCUUAGGCGAAGCCCUGCGAUGGUAGAACAUCAAGAUCGUCACCACACCGUCGUGCUGACGGAACUCCUCCCCGACGCUUUGCUGGAUCGGAGCCCAGGGAUCGUCAUCGAGCUGUACGUGUGCUAAGAACUCGGAGGUGUCGGAGUAACGGUGCUUGGAUUGGUCGGAUCGGGAAGACGUACGACUACUUCCUCUAUGUUGUGUCAACGCUUCCGCAGUCGGUCUGCGUGAGUACGUAGACAACACUCUCCCCUCUCGUUGCUGUGCAUCAUCAUGAUCUUGCGUGUGCAUAGGAAUUUUUUUGAAAUUACUACGUUCCCCAAUAGUGGUAUCAGAGCCUAGGUUUUAUGGUUUGAUGUUAUAUGCAUGAGUAGAACACAAGUGAGUUGUGGGUGAUAUAAGUCAUACUGCCUACCAGCAUGUCAUACUUUGGUUCAGUGGUAUUGUUGGACGAGACGACCCGGACCAACAUUACCGUACGCUUACGCGAGACCGGUUCCCCCGACGUGCUUUGCACAUAGGUGGCUUGCGGGCGACUGUCUCUCCAACUUUAGUUGAACCGAGUAUGGCUACGCCCGGUCCUUGCGAAGGUUAAAACGGAGUCAAAUUGACAAACUAUCGUUGUGGUUUUGAUGCGUAGGUGAGAUUGGUUCUUGCUUAAGCCUGUAGCAGCCACGUAAAACUUGCAACAACAAAGUAGAGGACGUCUAACUUGUUUUUGCAGGGCAUGUUGUGAUGUGAUAUGGUCAAGGCAUGAUGAUGAAUUUUAUUGUAUGAGAUGAUCAUGUUUUGUAACCGAGUUAUCGGCAACUGGCAGGAGCCAUAUGGUUAUCGCUUUAUUGUAUGCAAUGCAAUCGCGAUGUAAUGCUUUACUUUAUCACUAAGCGGUAGCAAUAGUCGUGGAAGCAUAAGAUUGGCGAGACGACAACGAUGCUACGAUGGAGAUCAAGGUGUCGCGCCGGUGACGAUGGUGAUCAUGACGGUGCUUCGAAGAUGGAGAUCACAAGCACAAGAUGAUGAUGGCCAUAUCAUAUCACUUAUAUUGAUUGCAUGUGAUGUUUAUCUUUUUAUGCAUCUUAUCUUGCUUUGAUUGACGAUAGCAUUAUAAGAUGAUCUCUCACUAAAUUAUCAAGAAGUGUUCUCCCUGAGUAUGCACCGUUGCCAAAGUUCGUCGUGCCCAGACACCACGUGAUGAUCGGGUGUGAUAAGCUCUACGUCCAUCUACAACGGGUGCAAGCCAGUUUUUGCACACGCAGAAUACUCAGGUUAAACUUGACGAGCCUAGCAUAUGCAGAUAUGGCCUCGGAACACGGAGACCGAAAGGUCGAGCGUGAAUCAUAUAGUAGAUAUGAUCAACAUAACGAUGUUCACCAUUGAAAACUACUCCAUCUCAAGUGAUGAUCGGUUAUGGCUUAGUUGAUUUGGAUCACGUGAUCACUUAGAGGAUUAGAGGGAUGUCUAUCUAAGUGGGAGUUCUUAAGUAAUUUGAUUAAUUGAACUUAAACUUAUCAUGAACUUAGUACCUGAUAGUAUAUUGCUUGUUUAUGUUGAUUGUAGAUAGAUGGCUCGUGCUGUUGUUCUAUUGAAUUUUAAUGCGUUUCGUGAGAAAGCAAAGUUGAAAGAUGAUGGUAGCAAUUACACGGACUGGGUCCGUAACUUGAGGAUUAUCCUCAUUGCUGCUCAGAAGAAUUACGUCCUGGAAGCACCGCUGGAUGCCAGGCCUGCUGCUGGAGCAACACCAGAUGUUAUGAACGUCUGGCAGAGCAAAGCUGAUGACUACUCGAUAGUUCAGUGUGCCAUGCUUUACGGCUUAGAAUCGGGACUUCAACGACGUUUUGAACGUCAUGGAGCAUAUGAGAUGUUCCAAGAGUUGAAGUUAAUAUUUCAAGUAAAUGUCCGGAUUGAGAGAUAUGAAGUCUCCAAUAAGUUCUAUAGCUGCAAGAUGGAGGAGAACAGUUCUGUCAGUGAGCAUAUACUCAAAAUGUCUGGGUAUAAUAAUCACUUGAUUCAGAUGGGAGUUAAUCUUCUGGAUGAUUGCGUCAUUGACAGAAUUCUCCAAUCACUGCCACCGAGCUACAAGAGCUUCGUGAUGAACUAUAAUAUGCAAGGGAUGAACAAGACUAUUCCCGAGCUCUUCGCAAUGCUGAAAGCUGCGGAGGUAGAAAUCAAGAAGGAGCAUCAAGUGUUGAUGGUUAACAAGACCACUAGUUUCAAGAAAAAGGGCAAAGGGAAGAAGAAGGGGAACUUCAAGAAGAACGGCAAGCAAGUUGCUGCUCAGGAGAAGAAACCCAAGUCUGGACCUAAGCCUCAAACUGAGUGCUUCUACUGCAAGCAGACUGGUCACUGGAAGCGGAACUGCCCCAAGUUUUUGGCGGAUAAGAAGGAUGGCAAGGUGAACAAAGGUAUAUGUGAUAUACAUGUUAUUGAUGUGUACCUUACUAGAGCUCGCAGUAGCACCUGGGUAUGUGAUACUGGUUCUAUUGCUAAUAUUUGCAACUCGAAACAGGGACUACGGAUUAAGCAAACACUGGCGAAGGACGAGGUGACGAUGCGCGUGGGAAAUGGUUCCAAAGUCGAUGUGAUCGCGGUCGGCACGCUACCUCUACAUCUACCUUCGGGAUUAAUAUUAGACCUAAAUAAUUGUUAUUUGGUGCCAGCGUUGAGCAUGAACAUUAUAUCUGGAUCUUGUUUUAUGCGAGAUGGUUAUUCAUUUAAAUCAGAGAAUAAUGGUUGUUCUAUUUAUAUGAGUAAUAUCUUUUAUGGUCAUGCACCUUUGAGAAGUGGUCUAUUUUUGAUGAAUCUUGAUAGUAGUAACACACAUAUUCAUAAUGUUGAAGCCAAAAGAUGCAGAGUUGAUAAUGACAGUGCAACUUAUUUGUGGCACUGCCGUUUAGGUCAUAUCGGUAUAAAGCACAUGAAGAAACUCCAUACUGAUGGACUUUUGGAACCACUUGAUUAUGAAUCACUUGGUACUUGUGAACCGUGCCUCAUGGGCAAGAUGACUAAAAUACCGUUCUCCGGUACUAUGGAGAGAGCAACAGAUUUGUUGGAGAUCAUACAUACAGAUGUAUGUGGUCUGAUGAAUAUUGAGGCUCGUGGCGGAUAUCGUUAUUUUCUCACCUUCACAGAUGACUUAAGCAGAUAUGGGUAUAUCUACUUAAUGAAACAUAAGUCUGAAACAUUUGAAAAGUUCAAAGAAUUUCAGAGUGAAGUUGAAAAUCAUCGUAACAAGAAAAUAAAGUUUCUACGAUCUGAUCGUGGAGGAGAAUAUUUGAGUUACGAGUUUGGUGUACAUUUGAAAAAUUGUGGAAUAGUUUCGCAACUCACGCCACCCGGAACACCACAGCGCAAUGGUGUUUCCGAACGUCGUAAUCGUACUUUACUAGAUAUGGUGCGAUCUAUGAUGUCUCUUACUGAUACCGCUAUCGUUUUGGGGUUAUGCUUUAGAGACGGCCGCAUUCACGUUAAAUAGGGCACCAUCAAAAUCCGUUGAGACGACGCCUUAUGAACUGUGGUUUGGCAAGAAACCAAAGUUGUCGUUUCUUAAAGUUUGGGGCUGCGAUGCUUAUGUGAAAAAGCUUCAACCUGAUAAGCUCGAAUCCAAAUCAGAGAAAUGUGUCUUCAUAGGAUACCCAAAGGAGACUGUUGGGUACACCUUCUAUCACAGAUCCGAAGGCAAGACAUACGUUGCUAAGAAUGGAUCCUUUCUAGAGAAGGAGUUUCUCUCGAAAGAAGUGAGUGGGAGGAAAGUAGAACUUGACGAGGUAACUGUACCUGCUCCCUUAUUGGAAAGUAGUACAUCACAGAAAACUGUUUCUGCGACACCUAUACCAAUUAGUGAGGAAGCUAAUGAUGAUGAUCAUGAAACUUCAGGACAAGAUACUACUAAACCUCGUAGAUCAACCAGAGCAAGAUCCGCACUAGAGUGGUACGGUAAUCCUGUUCUGGAAAUCAUGCUGCUAGAUCAUGAUGAACCUACGAACUAUGAAGAAGCGAUGGUGAGCCCAGAUUCCGCAAAGUGGCUUGAAGCCAUGAAAUCUGAGAUGGGAUCCAUGUAUGAGAACAAAGUAUGGACUUUGGUUGACUUGCCCGAUGAUCGGCAAGCAAUUGAGAAUAAAUGGAUCUUCAAGAAAAAGACUGACGCUGAUGGUAAUGUUACUAUCUACAAAGCUCGACUUGUCGCAAAAGGUUUUCGACAAGUUCAAGGGGUUGACUACGAUGAGACUUUCUCACCCGUAGCGAUGCUUAAGUCUGUCCGAAUCAUGUUAGCGAUUGCCGCAUUUUAUGAUUAUGAAAUUUGGCAGAUGGAUGUCAAAAUUGCAUUCCUGAAUGGAUUUCUGGAAGAAGAGUUGUAUAUGAUGCAACCGGAAGGUUUUGUCGAUCCAAAGGGAGCUAACAAAGUAUGCAAGCUCCAGCGAUCCAUUUAUGGACUGGUGCGAGCCUCUCGGAGUUGGAAUAAACGCUUGAUAGUGUGAUCAAAGCAUUUGGUUUUAUAUAGACUUUCGGUGAAGCCUGUAUUUACAAGAAAGUGAGUGGGAGCUCUGUAGCAUUUCUGAUAUUAUAUGUGGAUGACAUAUUACUGAUUGGAAAUGAUAUAGAAUUUCUGGAUAGCAUAAAGGGAUACUUGAAUAAGAGUUUUUCAAUGAAAGACCUCGGUGAAGCUGCUUACAUAUUAGGCAUAAAGAUCUAUAGAGAUAGAUCAAGGCGCUUAAUAGGACUUUCACAAAGCACAUACCUUGACAAGAUUUUGAAGAAGUUCAAAAUGGAUCAAGCAAAGAAAGGGUUCUUGCCUGUGUUACAAGGUGUGAAGUUGAGUCAGACUCAAUGCCCGACCACUGCAGAAGAUAGAGAGAAAAUGAAAGAUGUUCCCUAUGCUUCAGCCAUAGGCUCUAUCAUGUAUGCAAUGCUGUGUACCAGACCUGAUGUGUGCCUUGCUAUAAGUUUAGCAGGGAGGUACCAAAGUAAUCCAGGAGUGGAUCACUGGACGGCGGUCAAGAACGUCCUGAAAUACCUAAAAAGGACUAAGGAUAUGUUUCUCGUAUAUGGAGGUGACAAAGAGCUCACCGUAAAAGGUUACGUUGAUGCAAGCUUUGACACUGAUCCGGACGAUUCUAAAUCGCAAACCGGAUACGUGUUUACAUUAAAUGGUGGAGCUGUCAGUUGGUGGAGUUCUAAACAAAGUGUCAUAGCGGGAUCUACAUGUGAAGCAGAGUACAUAGCUGCUUCGGAAGCAGCGAACGAAGGAGUCUGGAUGAAGGAGUUCAUAUCCGAUCUAGGUGUCAUACCUAGUGCAUCGGGUCCAAUGAAUAUCUUUUGUGACAAUACUGGUGCAAUUGCCUUGGCAAAGGAAUCCAGAUUUCACAAGAGGACCAAGCACAUCAAGAGACGCUUCAAUUCCAUCCGGGAUCUAGUCCAGGUGGGAGACAUAGAGAUUUGCAAGAUACAUACAGAUUUGAAUGUUGCAGACCCGUUGACUAAGCCUCUUCCACGAGCAAAACAUGAUCAGCACCAAGGCUCCAUGAGUGUUAGAAUCAUUACUGUGUAAUCUAGAUUAUUGACUCUAGUGCAAGUGGGAGACUGAAGGAAAUAUGCCCUAGAGGCAAUAAUAAAGUUGUUAUUUAUUUCCUUAUAUCAUGAUAAAUGUUUAUUCAUGCUAGAAUUGUAUUAACCGGAAACAUAAUACAUGUGUGAAUACAUAGACAAACUUAGUGUCACUAGUAUGCCUCUACUUGACUAGCUCGUUAAUCAAAGAUGGUUAUGUUUCCUAACCAUGAACAAGGUCACAUCAUUAGUUGAAUGAUCUGAUUGACAUGACCCAUUUCAUUAGCUUAGCACCCGAUCGUUUAGUAUGUUGCUAUUGCUUUCUUCAUGACUUAUACAUGUUCCUAUGACUAUGAGAUUAUGCAACUCCCGUUUAACGGAGGAACACUUUGUGUGCUACCAAACGUCACAACGUAACUGGGUGAUUAUAAAGGAGCUCUACAGGUGUCUCCAAAGGUACAUGUUGGGUUGGCGUAUUUCGAGAUUAGGAUUUGUCACUCCGAUUGUCGGAGAGGUAUCUCUGGGCCCUCUCGGUAAUGCACAUCACAUAAGCCUUGCAAGCAUUGCAGCCAAUGAGUUAGUUGCGAGAUGAUGUAUUAUGGAAUGAGUAAAGAGACUUGCCGGUAACGAGAUUGAACUAGGUAUUGGAUACCGACGAUCGAAUCUCGGGCAAGUAACAUACCGAUGACAAAGGGAACAACGUAUGUUGUUAUGCGGUCUGACCGAUAAAGAUCUUCGUAGAAUAUGUAGGAGCCAAUAUGGGCAUCCAGGUCCCGCUAUUGGUUAUUGACCGGAGACGUGUCUCGGUCAUGUCUACAUUAUUCUCGAACCGUAGGGUCCGCACGCUUAACGUUACGAUGACAAUUAUUAUGAGUUUAUGCAUUUUGAUGUACCGAAGAUUGUUCGGAGUCCCGGAUGUGAUCAUGGACAUGACGGGGAGUCUCGAAAUGGUCGAGACAUAAAGAUUGAUAUAUUGGAAGCCUAUGUUUGGAUAUCGGAAGUGUUCUGGGUGAAAUCGGUAUUUUACCGGAGUACCGGGAGGUUACCGGAACCCCCCGGGAGCUGUAUGGGCCUUAAUGGGCUUUAGUGGAAAGGAGAAGGGGCAGCCCAAGAUGGGCCGCGCGCCUCCCUCCUCCCCUAGUCCUAUUAGGACAAGGAGAGGUGGCCGCCCCCCCUCUCUCUCUCCCCCUCAGCGAAUCCUACUCCAACUAGGAUUGGGGGAGGAAUCCUAGUCCCAGAGGGAGUAGGACUCCCUUGGCGCGUCUUCCUUGGCCGGCCGGCCCCCUCCCCUUGGCUCCUUUAUAUACGGAGGCAGGGGGCACCCCUAGACACACAAGUUGAUCAUUGAGAUCGUUCCUUAGCCGUGUGCGGUGCCCCCUGCCACCAUAUUCCACCUCCAUUAUAUUGUAGCAGUGCUUAGGCGAAGCCCUGCGACGGUAGAACAUCAAGAUCGUCACCACGCCGUCGUGCUGACGGAACUCCUCCCCGACGCUUUGCUGGAUCGGAGCCCGGGGAUCGUCAUCGAGCUGUACGUGUGCUAAGAACUCGGAGGUGCCAGAGUAACGGUGCUUGGAUCGGUCGGAUCGGGAAGACGUACGACUACUUCCUCUACGUUGUGUCAACGCUUCCGCAGUCGGUCUGCGUGGGUACGUAGACAACACUCUCCCCUCUCGUUGUUGUGCAUCAUCAUGAUCUUGCGUGUGCGUAGGAAAUUUUUUGAAAUUACCACGUUCCCCAACAAUAGAGACACUCAAGAUGUGAUAUGCGAAGAAAAACCGUGCAAGAGCGUGGAUAUGAUGACCGUCACCGCAACAUUGGCAUUGGCGUAACAACAACACUGAGGUCGGCUUAAGGAUGUGUGUUUUAAAUUUAUUACAUCAUCAUAGGAAGUACUACUUAGCAUACUAGCGGGUACAAGCACAUCAUGGCGAGUAGCCCCUUGGUUUUGGAGGAGGUUCUUGAGCGUAAAAAAAUCGAUAGAAACAAAACAAAUGCACCUUGAAACUCAAAUGAUUUUCUGAGGUGUUUGAUAUUCUUAAAAAAUUAUGUUUCUUCUAAAGUAGAAGUCCAAUCAUUGUACUAGUAGUCAUGUACAUCCAAAUGCACAUUUUAUACAAUUCAUUACAUCAUACCGAUAUGUAAUGACAUUUGCAAACAAGAUGAGGGAGAAAGUCUUGCUUGCAUUAAUUGUUGACAUUGGACAGAGGCUCGAUGGCUUCAGGAGGCAACUAUGUCGGCUUCCCUACCUCUGAGAAAAUCUAUCCACCGAUUCCAGGGCGAGCAACCAGAUUUCUUUCUUGUAUGAGAUCAUGGUACAAUGUUUUUUUCUUUUUGCGGAAGAAGCCAUCUAGCAUAGUGUUGUCUGUGAGCAAGCACCGAAAGGUAGAGAUGGUGGAUGAUGGCUUUGGCGAAUUGAGAAAUGAGUUUGUCCUUUUGCUGGUGAAAACUUGUGAUCUAGCUAUAACGUACAUGUGACGACGAUAUUCUUCUUGAAGGUGUUAGCUUGAGGGUGAGAAACCAUAGACAAACUUUUUAUUGGGUUAGACCAAAUAGCAUCCCUGAAUGAUCACCUAUUUCUUAGUGAAGUUGUUGUCUUCAAGUACAAUCCUCUCGGGUAUUUUAUGUAUUACUGUGCUAGUGUGUUUUGGACCUUGGCGUUAAGAUUGUGCGAAAUGAUGGAGAAAAUGACUGCCAUGAGGCCAAUUAUGAAGAUGAUAGACUGAAAUUUGGUUUCAUUUUUGUAAAAAUAUUUCUUCAUCUUCAUGCCUAACCAUUUCCAAAUUUCCUAGCUAAAUAAUUCUACUUCCAGGAAUAUAAACAACAAUAACUUAGUUCCUUGUACAUAUGCACACAUUAUAAAGAGUGGUCAGUUUUGUGUUGGAUGCUUGAGUAUGAUGAAUAGUUCAAUUGUAUGGUUCUUAAUUUUGUGUCAACCAUGUUUGGGUGAAUUGCGAUUAUAUUUUUGUGAGUUGUCUACGACACUAGACAUAUCGUAGACGGUUUUGAGAGUUAUGGUACGUGAUAUGAAGAUAUCCAUAUGGUUAAAAAGUCGCCUGUAAUAUUAUGGAGAUAUCACAUACUGUCAACCGUGGACGGCUCGAGGAACCUUUUUUUUCCUUCAGGAAGAGUGUAUUGUUCUUACAAAACUGUAUGCGAUGUCACACACAUGAUAGUGCACCAUUGACCAUAUAAAUAAACAUAAGAAAAAAAACACCCACUAUGUAAUUUGCAAGACAUCCUAUAUAUGAUCGGAGAUUGCCUUCUAGUAGAGUUUCCUUCCACGAUCUUCUCAAGAGGAAGAAUGCCGACUAUGCGUUCUAUCCUCAGCCUUGAAAAUAAUGACCCCGCCAUCUUGCCAACAUUCUUUAGCAAUAUUUCAACAACCGUAACAUUCUCUAGCACUACUUCUCAUAGCAUUGAAUAAUAAGAUCGUUUUUCUGUAAUCCCAUUGUUCUCAAAGCUCGACAAAAACCAUUGAUUCAUACCUAUAUGUGAGACCAACAACCUUCACCAAUAAACAAAUACAUCCCUACCUAUAUGUGGGACCAACAAUCUUCGAAGAAAGAUAAAUAAGUAAAUAUACUUUUACUCACAUGUGUGAACUAACACAAAUAAACAACUACAAUAAUAUUUUUAGUUUCUCUUCUCAACUGAGUUCUUCCAGUUCUAUAUGACACAACAAGAGAGUGAAAAAAUUGUAAUCGGUUAGAGCUUGUCCUCCUACCCGGUCCACGGCCUUGUCCAAUCAACUUACUAAUGCAUAUUCUCAUAUGUUUCAACUUAUGAAAUGUUGUGUCUUGUAAACAACCUACUAUGACCAUUUAAAAUUCUCAAUUGACUGCAACAAGAUCUGGCAUUGCAUGUUUUGCUUUUUUUAAUCAUGAACCACAUGCAAAGGUUAUAGGGUAUGAACAUAUUUUAACGACUUCUUAAGGUAGUGACCUAUCUAAUUGUAUUUUAUAGUUUCAUAGCAAUCCACAGACAUCAUGCUAGUAGAACAUAAUAUGGUGUUUUUACUAUGAGGCUAUGCAACAAAUGAGCCAAAAUGAUAUGAUGCAUUUUGGACUCAUUAGGGGUAGCAGGGGAUUUUGUGAGGUGCACAAGCGAGAUGUCGAGACAACGAUGAGGAUGUAUGAUGAUUCUGGUUGUCUCAGUGCUCGAUGGUCAUGGUGUCAACACGCCCUUCACCACAACGGAUCGUCCAAUCACCUCAACGAGAACUAAUGCUACUCAUGAGGUCUAUCAACAUAUAUACUCGUUUUUUUAUAAAUAUGAUUAUACACAUGAGACAUCAAACCCACGGAAGGCAUAUCCAUGUACAAGUCCUAAACAACUAUGGAACCUCCCCUUCCGACAUGUGUGGCUUAUGGAAACUGGAGCAGAUAAGAAAGAUUGCGUGGUUGAGUGCACAUUCAUCAAGAUUAAGGAAGUUAUGCCUUAAUCCUUUGUCGGUAGGAGUUAGGUCUAGGUUCCUCAUCUUGGAUACCACAGUAGAACACCUACAUAUAAGGACCCAUAGGUAGAAGCAGGAGAACAAGCUAUUUUAACACCAGUAUAACACCAUGAUGUAGAUGGAUGCAGAGAAGCGCUUUGCAUCGGCAUUGUGGCAAGAUAUGUAGAUCUAUUGCAGGAAUCUAGAUUGUUAUAGUUUCACUCAUGUUAGCCACCAUCAUACUUUUGCAUUAAGAUCAUAAUGGAAGACAAAGAAAAUAAGUAGGAUUCUUACCCAACCCAGGUAAAAUCGUGCAUCCCUGACUUCAUCCUCAUCCGCAUACGCACGCGAGUUUGUUUCCGAGAUCCUUGCAGCCUUAGCAUUGUUCAUUUGAGCAUUCUAAGAUUUUAACAGCUCUAGAUUUGGAGUGUGUUUUGACUUUGGUCGAUCCCACCAUAGGAUGGGGUGAGUAAUUUUCUAUUAUUUAUGGGCGUGGGUGGGGAUUGGGUUUGUUGUGUUGCCUCUUCAAUAUUUCUUUGCUUUUUGCAGCUUUGUUCAAAAGAGGCUUUGCAUUUGUUCUCUGUGCACCCAACGCCAUUUAAUAUAAAUGAAAACCAGCCAUGACAUGCAAAGCUUUUCAUGUUGAACUAAUUAUCAUUAGUCCACAUUUCCUCAUUUGAAAAUGCUAGUAGAUAAUGGAAUGAAAGAUCGAAGUAAGUAAAAAUUUAUUUAUAUUACACACGACAAUCCAGCACCACAUAAUAACUUAAAAAUCACAAGGGGAAAUAAAAUAAAUCCUCACACAACACAAGAAAGUUCCAAUCAUAUGGAUCAGAUGAAAGGCAAACCUCUCAAACAUCAUUCUUCACCGAAGAGCUAUAGCCAUCCUGGUCAUCAUAAUACUUGGACCACAACAUGAUCCCACCAUACUUCCCCGCACUCUUGAUCAAUGGGAGAACAUCAGACUUUAGGUCAUCAGCCGGGAUGAACCCGCUCCCAGCAGCCUCAGGUGAUGCCGGGAGACCAAGGAAGAUCUGCUUUGCAGGAACGGUCAACCACUGCUUCCAUGAAUCAGCUAGAUUGGAAGUGCUUCCUGAAGUAUAUUGGCAAGGAGCAUUGUUGUAGAACUGCACCCACACAUAGUCAAAGAGACCGGUGUUGAGGGCGCCUCCCACCCAUGCAUCAGGGAAAGGGCACUGUGGCGCGGCAGUCAAGUACACUCUCCUGCCGGAGUUGCUAUACCCUUUUAGGAACCUUGCAAGAUCGUCCCAGUGCAGGGGUGUACCGCCCUCGAUAUCGAAGUCGAUGCCAUCGAGGACUGCAUCACCGAGAGGCCGCGAAGGUGACGUACCUCCUAAGAAGUUGUUCCACAGGUACGUCGCGACAUUCUUAGCGUCCUGGGACGAGGAAAGGUAGUAACCGCCUGCUCCGCCACCGAUGGAGAGCAUGACCUUGACGCCGUUGCUCUGGCAUGACUUGACGUCGGAACUUAGACUAGCGCACCCGCCGUUGGUUGGGACGCAGUGGCCUGCCAGGUUGAGGACUGGCGGCUGGCCAUUGCCGAAGGAGGAAAGGAAGGCGAUGUUGACAAAUUUGUAGUUGCCAGUGGCGCAGGUUGCAGCCAGCGUGCCCUCUCCACCAUUCUGACCCCAGUAGAUGGAAAUGCCGCCGGCUUCCGACCCGAGAAACUGCGCCGCGGCUACUGCCACGACCAACAGUUGCAGCAGAGAUGACCUAGUAGCCAUCUCUGGGGCAAUAUUUGUUCCUAUUGGACUCUUCUCUCCACUGUUGAUGUCUUCAGAUGUAGGAGUAUUGCUUUUGUUUUGCUGCGUGUGGUGAGUUUGUGCUGGGAUGGUUGGCUUAUAUACGAGGGCACUCUUCGUGUGAAAUCUGGCACCCCCGUAUUGUGUAUGCUUAUGCGUGACUUGUUGGGCACAUGGAUGAACACUUGUGAACGCGCUCUGCUGGCAGCUUCGAUUUAACGGCGACGGUGUUCGUGAUUUUGUACUACACCAUCAACUUGUAAGAGAUUAUCUUGUACUAGUUGAACAGAAGGACGUGCAAGGCACCUGUAUAGAAUAAGAAGAGGCGUACAACAGCUCUGUGUUGGCGACGGCAAACUAAGCGAUUAAGAACAGAGUAAUAAUCAGAAAAGCGAUUAAGAACAGAAUAAUAGAAGCCGUACAAUAUACUCCCUCCGUUUUUAAAUAUAAAAUAAAUACUUUUAAAGGUUUUUAUAUAGACUACAUACGAACAUACGAAUAUAUAUAGACAUAUUUUAGAGUAUUUUGCUUCAUUUGUAGUCAAUAUUAGAAUAUCUAAAAGAAAUUAUAUAUAGAAACGGAGGGAGUAAGAGAUAAAUCUUGUACAGUUCACGUUCGUCAUGUCGUGUUUUCUUAAGGGUAUAUUUUCGUCUCUUCGUCUUUCUUUGACAUAGUAUAGAGGCAGACAUUCAUACAUAUGCAUAUGCACUCAUUCUUACAAACACACACACGCUCACCUUAUCUUAUGAGCAUCUCCGAGAGACUGAGCCAAUACAUCAUUUUGAGAUUGAUAAAGUCGCCACAGACAUCUUUGUAGUCGACCAUAACGUCUCCUCGCACUAAAGGCACGUCACCGGUAGGUCUGUAAUAAAUCUAGAAAAAUACGAACUCCGAUGUCAAGUCUAGAACUUGAAAUCUGAUGGGCCGAGAAUACCAUUAUUCUCCUAACCAUCCAACCAGAUAUUAGUUUGCUACUUUCGCCUGUCUGGCGUGCUCAAAGCCUAAUGAGUGGUCUCACAUGAAGGGUACGGGGGCACGCCUAUAUCUUGCUUCUUGUAAGUCAAAUAAUACAUAUAUAAUAUUAACCAUUGUUCUAACACUUUACAGAUGUUUGCAUGUUUAAAAAAUAAUAUUGAUGACAUUUUUGAAAAUGCUGACCAUGCGUUUAAAAAUGUUAGCUUUGUAUUUAAAACAUAUUUACCACGUAUUAAAAAAUUAUUCAAUGUGCGUUCAAUACGUAUUUUGCUAAAUGUUCAACAUGUAUCUAAAAAAUGUUCAACCUGUAUCUAAAAAAUGUUCUACUGUUAUGCAAAAAUGUUCAACACGUGUUUGGUCAGUAGAUGCGCAUGAACAAUGGUUGUCACAUCCGAAACCGACAUUGAAAUUAGAUUUCAAAAAGCGCAUCAGGGGCAAAGUAGUCAUUGUACAUAUUCAUAUGCCCCUGUGCCUUGUUCAUUCAACACUCGAUGUCCAUUUAUUGAACCCUUAAAGUUAAGAACAUGCUCCUCCUCACACAUUUCUUUAAGUAUCGCCCCCAUCAUUGUUGUUUCAUCCUCAUCUUCGUCAUCAUCGGGCAAAGACAAAUCCAUGAAUCCGACGUGAAAGUACUCAUCCUCCUUAGAUCUGUGCUCAAGGCCACAUCCGAAGCAUGGGUGCCUCCGAGGCCCUGUCCCGAGAUUGAAUCCGGUGUUAGGGCGGCAAUGUUGGCAGUAUCCUCCGACCGGUCUGACAGCCAGUCCGAGAAAGCAAGUUUUCCACGGAUAUCCGUGGCGUACUCCAGAUUGCCGAACCUGAUGAUCUGGCCUGGAGGAAGGUUCUCAAUUUGGCUGAGGUGGCCCGUCGAGUUGGCGUGCAACACAAUGUUGUCGAAGGCAAAAAGUUGGCCGUGGAAAAUGAUAUUCCCACAAUCGAUGCCGUCGCUGAUCUGAAGGCGAGCCAUCGAGCCUUUGUGACCACACAACGAGACCUGCAUGGGCCACCAAUGUCGGUACUAAAAUCGGCGGAUGUCGGGUAGGGGUCCCAAGCUGGUGAUCUUGGCACGAUGGUAACGAGAAGAAAGGGGACACGGUAUUUACCCAGGUUCGGGCCCUCUCGAAGAGGUAAAACCCUAUGUCCCGCUCUUGUUAUAUUGAUCAUGGAUGGGGUACAAAGUACAUGAUGAUAUACCUCGAGACAUAUACAUGACCUCUAACCUCUCAAAAUCUUUCCUGUACAGACUAAACUCCUCGGCUUUAUAGGCACCAGGGGUAUGUAGGGUUAUAAGGAUGUCGGCUACAACUAGGGAUAACAUGUAGAUCAUUUGAAUAUGCCUUGAAGUAUACACCAAGUCUUUGGAGGAUCCCAUCUUGAGCACGCCGAGGGCCAGAGCAUGUGUGUCCCAUUCUUCAGUUGUUGUUGGGUCCUCGGCCGACCCAUGAAUGACAGGCCGACGUGGUGUGCACCCCUAAUCCAGGACACCAUCACAUGGGAAUUUGAAAACACACAGAAAAGAUAAAGCAAAACUAACAAAACCUAUAAAAACUAAGGAUUAUGCAGUGCUCUGGUUAAAAUGCCUGAAAACUAGUAUUUAUGCAAAACAGACAUAAACAAGCGUUCGGUCUUUUCCAACUAUAAAGGUUGGCGUUGGCGGUCAGUCCACAUGUGAGACCAACAAUCUUCACCAAUAAACAGAUGCAUCCCUACCUAUAUGUGGGACUAACAAUCUUCGAAGAGAUAUAAAUAAAUAAAUAUACUUUUACUCACAUGUGGUUCCUAACACAAAUAAAUAACUACACUAAUAUUUUUAGUUUCUCUUCUCAACUGAGUUCUUCCAGUUCUUUUUUUUGCAGUUUAAACUUUGUAUUACUCAAGUGGUAAGUCCACAGUCUGCAUUACAAAGUUCAAUGACCUCUGAUAAACCAGAGUUAAGCCACACUACUGUUCUACUCUUGGUUCUAGCAAAAUUUGCCAAAAAAUCACUAACAUUAUUUUGACUACGAUGAACAUACUUGAAAAUAGUAUUACGAAGACUCCUCAGGUGCUUGAUUUCCUUUACCAAUGAUGAGAACAGUGACCUAUCAGGCGAAUCAUUUGUGAUCAUGUUCAAGGCCUCCCGUGAGUCCAUUUCGACCUGAAUAGGUAGCUCCGUUCUCUUAAUUGCUAGUGAGAGACCCUCCAUACAUGCACUUAGUUCAGACUCCAAUGCAUUCCUGCAUGAAAAGAGCUCCCUGCAUGAUGUAUAUAUGAUCUGGCCCUUGUUGUCUCGGAGGACCAUGCCAGCUCCUGCCUUCCCAUCUAAAGACCAAGAACCAUCAACGUUGAGCUUUGACCAACCCUCCAUAGGAAAAACCCAUGCGAUGUUGUGAGCAACAGAUGGUAUCACUUGCGGUUCGGGCAAACAAUAUGCAACAACCUAUUUACCUUUCAGAAGCUCCUCAUCUGAAUAUUUGAGCGAUAUCAAGGAGUCCAAAUAUCCCAUCAAAAACCGUUUCGAUGCCUCCAUCGGAGGUGGUUCUUUGUAGUCGAAUAGUAAUCGAAUAUCCCAUCAAAAACUGUUUCCAGUUCUAUAUGACAUAACAAGAGAUGAAAAAAUAGUAAUCGAAUUGAGCUUCUCCUCCUACCCGAUCCACAACCUUGUGCAAUCAACUUACUAAUGCAUAUUCUCAUAUGUUUAAACAUUUGAAAUAUUGUGUCUUGUAAAGAACCUACUAUGACCGUUUAAGAUUCUCAAAUACCUGCAGCAAGAUCUGGCAUUGCAUGUUUUCCUUUUUCUUAAAUCAUGAACCACAUGCAAAGGUUGUAGGGUAUGAACAUGUUUUAACGACUUCCUAAGCUAGUGACAUAUGUCCUCGUGUGUUAUAGUUUCAUAGCAAUGCACGCACAUCAUGCUAGUAGAACAUAAUAUGGGAGCCUAACUAUGAGGAUAUGAAACAAACGAGCCAAAAUGAUGUGAUGCGUUUUGGACUCAUUAGCGGUAGUUCGGGAUUUUGCGAGGUGCACAAGCAAGAUGUCGAUACAACAUUGAUGAUGUAUGGUGAGUCUGGUUGUCUCAAUGCUCGAUGGUCAUGAUUUCAACACGCCCAUCACCACAAAGGAUCGUACAAUCGCCUCAACGAGAACUGAUGCUACUCAUGAGGUCUAUCAACAUUUAUACUCGUAUUUCUUAUAAAUAUGGUUAUGCACACAAGACAUCAAGCCCAUGGAAGGCAUAUCCAUGUACAAGUCCUGAAGAGCUAUGGAACCUUCCCUUCCGGCAUGUUUGGCUCAUGGAAACUGGAGCAGAUAGGAAAGAUUGCAUGGAUGAGUGCGGGUUCAUCAAGAUUAAGGAAGCUAUGCAUUAUUCCUCUAUGGUUAGGAGUUAUGUCGAGGUUCCUCAUCUUGCAUACCAUAGUAGAACACCUACACACAAGGACCCAUAGGUAGAAGCAGAAGAACAAGCUAGUUUAACACCACUACAACACCACGAUGCAAGAAGCGCUCUGCAUCGACAUUGUGGCAAAAUAUGUAGAUCUAUUGCAAGAAUCUAGAUUGUUAUGGUUUAAUUCAUGUUAACCACCAUCAUACUUUUGGAUUAAGAUCAUAAGGGAAGACAAAGAAAAUAACUAGGAUUCUUACCCACAUGGGGGCCUCAACCCAGGUAAAAUCGUGCAUCCCUGACUUCAUCCUCAUCCGCCUACGCACGCGAGUUUGUUUAUGAGAUUCUUGCCGCCUUAUCAUUGUUCAUUUGAGCAUUCUAUGAUUUUAACAGCUCUAGAUUUUUAGUGUGUUUUGACUUUGUUCGAUCCCACCAUGGGAUGCGGUGAGUAAUGUUCUACUACUUAAGUUAGUACAAAGUUGAGUCACUUAUUUUGGGACAGAGGGAGUAUUAUUUAUGGGCGUGGGUGAGGAUUUCUCUUAUUGUGCUGCCUCUUUGAUGUUUCUUUGUUUUUUUGCAUCUUUUUUCGAAAGAGGCUUUUGCAUUUGUUCUCUGUGCACCCAACACCAUUUAAUAUAAAUGAAAACCAGCCAUGACAUGCAAACCUUUUCAUGUUGAACUAAUUAUCAUUAGUCCACAUUUCCUCAUUUGAAAACGCUACUAGAUAAUGGAAUGAAAGAUCGAAGUAAAAAUUUAUUUAUAUUACACACGACAGUCCGGCACCACAUAAUAACUUAAAAAUCACAAGGGGAAAUAAAAUAAAUCCUCACACAACACAAGGACGUGCCAAUCAUAUGGAUCAGAUGAAAGUCGACCCUCUCAAACAUCACUCUUCACCGAAGAGCUAUAGCCAUCCUGGUCAUCAUAAUACUUGGACCACAACAUGAUCCCACCAUACUUCCCCGUACUCUUGAUCAAUGGGAGAACAUCAGACUUUAGGUCAUCAGCCGGGAUGAACCCGCUCCCAGCAGCCUCAGGUGAUGCCGGGAGACCAAGGAAGAUCUGCUUUGCAGGAACAGUCAACCACUGCUUCCAUGAAUCAGCUAGAUUGGAAGUGCUUCCUGAAGUAUAUUGGCAAGGAGCAUUGUUGUAGAACUGCACCCACACAUAGUCAAAGAGACCGGUGUUGAGGGCGCCUCCCACCCAUGCAUCAGGGAAAGGGCACUGUGGCGCGGCAGUCAAGUACACUCUCCUGCCGGAGUUGCUAUACCCUUUUAGGAACCUUCCAAGAUCGUCCCAGUGCAGGGGUGUACCGCCCUCGAUAUCGAAGUCGAUGCCAUCGAGGACUGCAUCACCGAGAGGCCGCGAAGGUGACGUACCUCCUAAGAAGUUGUUCCACAGGUACGUCGCGACAUUCUUAGCGUCCUGGGAUGAGGAAAGGUAGUAACCGCCUGCUCCGCCACCGAUGGAGAGCAUGACCUUGACGCCGUUGCUCUGGCAUGACUUGACGUCGGAACUUAGACUAGCGCACCCGCCGUUGGUUGGGACGCAGUGGCCUGCCAGGUUGAGGACUGGCGGCUGGCCAUUGCCGAAGGAGGAAAGGAAGGCGAUGUUGACAAAUUUGUAGUUGCCAGUGGCGCAGGUUGCAGCCAGCGUGCCCUCUCCACCAUUCUGACCCCAGUAGAUGGAAAUGCCGCCGGCUUCCGACCCGAGAAACUGCGCCGCGGCUACUGCCACGACCAACAGUUGCAGCAGAGAUGACCUAGUAGCCAUCUCUGGGGCAAUAUUUGUUCCUAUUGGACUCUUCUCUCCACUGUUGAUGUAUUCAGAUGUAGGAGUAUUGCUUUUGUUUUGCUGCGUGUGGUGAGUUUGUGCUGGGAUGGUUGGCUUAUAUACGAGGGCACUCUUCGUGUGAAAUCUGGUAGAACAUCAAGAUCGUCACCACGCCGUCGUGCUGACGGAACUCCUCCCCGACGCUUUGCUGGAUCGGAGCCCGGGGAUCGUCAUCGAGCUGUACGUGUGCUAAGAACUCGGAGGUGCCGGAGUAACGGUGCUUGGAUCGGUCGGAUCGGGAAGACGUACGACUACUUCCUCUACGUUGUGUCAACGCUUCCGCAGUCGGUCUGCGUGGGUACGUAGACAACACUCUCCCCUCUCGUUGCUGUGCAUCAUCAUGAUCUUGCGUGUGCGUAGGAAUUUUUUUGAAAUUACUACGUUCCCCAACAAUAGAGACACUCAAGAUGUGAUAUGCGAAGAAAAACCGUGCAAGAGCGUGGAUAUGAUGACCGUCACCGCAACAUUGGCAUUGGCGUAACAACAACACUAAGGUCGGCUUAAGGAUGUGUGUUUUAAAUUUAUUACAUCAUCAUAGGAAGUACUACUUAGCAUACUAGCGGGUACAAGCACAUCAUGGCGAGUAGCCCCUUGGUUUUGGAGGAGGUUCUUGAGCGUAAAAAAAUCGAUAGAAACAAAACAAAUGCACCUUGAAACUCAAAUGAUUUUCUGAGGUGUUUGAUAUUCUUAAAAAAUUAUGUUUCUUCUAAAGUAGAAGUCCAAUCAUUGUACUAGUAGUCAUGUACAUCUAAAUACACAUUUUAUACAAUUCAUUACAUCAUACAGAUAUGUAAUGACAUUUGCAAACAAGAUGAGGGAGAAAGUCUUGCUUGCAUUAAUUGUUGACAUUGGACAGAGGCUCGAUGGCUUCAGGAGGCAACUAUGUCGGCUUCCCUACCUCUGAGAAAAUCUAUCCACCGAUUCCAGGGCGAGCAACCAGAUUUCUUUCUUGUAUGAGAUCAUGGUACAAUGUUUUUUCUUUUUGCGGAAGAAGCCAUCUAGCAUAGUGUUGUCUGUGAGCAAGCACCGAAAGGUAGAGAUGGUGGAUGAUGGCUUUGGCGAAUUGAGAAAUGAGUUUGUCCUUUUGCUGGUGAAAACUUGUGAUCUAGCUAUAACAUACAUGUGACGACGAUAUUCUUCUUGAAGGUGUUAGCUUGAGGGUGAUAAACCACAGACAAACUUUUUAUUGGGUUAGACCAAAUAGCAUCCCUGAAUGAUCACCUAUUUCUUAGUGAAGUUGUUGUCUUCAAGUACAAUCCUCUCGGGUAUUUUAUGUAUUACUGUGCUAGUGUGUUUUGGACCUUGGCGUUAAGAUUGUGCGAAAUGAUGGAGAAAAUGACUGCCAUGAGGCCAAUUAUGAAGAUGAUAGACUGAAAUUUGGUUUCAUUUUUGUAAAAAUAUUUCUUCAUCUUCAUGCCUAACCAUUUCCAAAUUUCCUAGCUAAAUAAUUCUACUUCCAGGAAUAUAAACAACAAUAACUUAGUUCCUUGUACAUAUGCACACAUUAUAAAGAGUGGUCAGUUUUGUGUUGGAUGCUUGAGUAUGAUGAAUAGUUCAAUUGUAUGGUUCUUAAUUUUGUGUCAACCAUGUUUGGGUGAAUUGCGAUUAUAUUUUUGUGAGUUGUCUACGACACUAGACAUAUCGUAGACGGUUUUGAGAGUUAUGGUACGUGAUAUGAAGAUAUCCAUAUGGUUAAAAAGUCGCCUGUAAUAUUAUGGAGAUAUCACAUACUGUCAACCGUGGACGGCUCGAGGAACCUUUUUUUUCCUUCAGGAAGAGUGUAUUGUUCUUACAAAACUGUAUGCGAUGUCACACACAUGAUAGUGCACCAUUGACCAUAUAAAUAAACAUAAGAAAAAAANNNNNNNNNNNNNNNNNNNNNNNNNNNNNNNNNNNNNNNNNNNNNNNNNNNNNNNNNNNNNNNNNNNNNNNNNNNNNNNNNNNNNNNNNNNNNNNNNNNNNNNNNNNNNNNNNNNNNNNNNNNNNNNNNNNNNNNNNNNNNNNNNNNNNNNNNNNNNNNNNNNNNNNNNNNNNNNNNNNNNNNNNNNNNNNNNNNNNNNNNNNNNNNNNNNNNNNNNNNNNNNNNNNNNNNNNNNNNNNNNNNNCACCCACUAUGUAAUUUGCAAGACAUCCUAUAUAUGAUCGGAGAUUGCCUUCUAGUAGAGUUUCCUUCCACGAUCUUCUCAAGAGGAAGAAUGCCGACUAUGCGUUCUAUCCUCAGCCUUGAAAAUAAUGACCCCGCCAUCUUGCCAACAUUCUUUAGCAAUAUUUCAACAACCGUAACAUUCUCUAGCACUACUUCUCAUAGCAUUGAAUAAUAAGAUCGUUUUUCUGUAAUCCCAUUGUUCUCAAAGCUCGACAAAAACCAUUGAUUCAUACCUAUAUGUGAGACCAACAACCUUCACCAAUAAACAAAUACAUCCCUACCUAUAUGUGGGACCAACAAUCUUCGAAGAAAGAUAAAUAAGUAAAUAUACUUUUACUCACAUGUGUGAACUAACACAAAUAAACAACUACAAUAAUAUUUUUAGUUUCUCUUCUCAACUGAGUUCUUCCAGUUCUAUAUGACACAACAAGAGAGUGAAAAAAUUGUAAUCGGUUAGAGCUUGUCCUCCUACCCAGUCCACGGCCUUGUCCAAUCAACUUACUAAUGCAUAUUCUCAUAUGUUUCAACUUAUGAAAUGUUGUGUCUUGUAAAGAACCUACUAUGACCAUUUAAAAUUCUCAAUUGACUCCAACAAGAUCUGGCAUUGCAUGUUUUGCUUUUUUUAAUCAUGAACCACAUGCAAAGGUUAUAGGGUAUGAACAUAUUUUAACGACUUCUUAAGGUAGUGACCUAUCUCCUUGUAUUUUAUAGUUUCAUAGCAAUCCACAGACAUCAUGCUAGUAGAACAUAAUAUGGUGUUUUUACUAUGAGGCUAUGCAACAAAUGAGCCAAAAUGAUAUGAUGCAUUUUGGACUCAUUAGGGGUAGCAGGGGAUUUUGUGAGGUGCACAAGCGAGAUGUCGAGACAACGAUGAGGAUGUAUGAUGAUUCUGGUUGUCUCAGUGCUCGAUGGUCAUGGUGUCAACACGCCCUUCACCACAACGGAUCGUCCAAUCACCUCAACGAGAACUAAUGCUACUCAUGAGGUCUAUCAACAUAUAUACUCGUUUUUUAUAAAUAUGAUUAUACACAUGAGACAUCAAACCCACGGAAGGCAUAUCCAUGUACAAGUCCUAAACAACUAUGGAACCUCCCCUUCCGACAUGUGUGGCUUAUGGAAACUGGAGCAGAUAAGAAAGAUUGCGUGGUUGAGUGCACAUUCAUCAAGAUUAAGGAAGUUAUGCCUUAAUCCUUUGUCGGUAGGAGUUAGGUCUAGGUUCCUCAUCUUGGAUACCACAGUAGAACACCUACAUAUAAGGACCCAUAGGUAGAAGCAGGAGAACAAGCUAUUUUAACACCAGUAUAACACCAUGAUGUAGAUGGAUGCAGAGAAGCGCUUUGCAUCGGCAUUGUGGCAAGAUAUGUAGAUCUAUUGCAGGAAUCUAGAUUGUUAUAGUUUCACUCAUGUUAGCCACCAUCAUACUUUUGCAUUAAGAUCAUAAUGGAAGACAAAGAAAAUAAGUAGGAUUCUUACCCAACCCAGGUAAAAUCGUGCAUCCCUGACUUCAUCCUCAUCCGCAUACGCACGCGAGUUUGUUUCCGAGAUCCUUGCAGCCUUAGCAUUGUUCAUUUGAGCAUUCUAAGAUUUUAACAGCUCUAGAUUUGGAGUGUGUUUUGACUUUGGUCGAUCCCACCAUAGGAUGGGGUGAGUAAUUUUCUAUUAUUUAUGGGCGUGGGUGGGGAUUGGGUUUGUUGUGUUGCCUCUUCAAUAUUUCUUUGCUUUUUGCAGCUUUGUUCAAAAGAGGCUUUGCAUUUGUUCUCUGUGCACCCAACGCCAUUUAAUAUAAAUAAAAACCAGCCAUGACAUGCAAAGCUUUUCAUGUUGAACUAAUUAUCAUUAGUCCACAUUUCCUCAUUUGAAAAUGCUACUAGAUAAUGGAAUGAAAGAUCGAAGUAAGUAAAAAUUUAUUUAUAUUACACACGACAAUCCAGCACCACAUAAUAACUUAAAAAUCACAAGGGGAAAUAAAAUAAAUCCUCACACAACACAAGAAAGUUCCAAUCAUAUGGAUCAGAUGAAAGGCAAACCUCUCAAACAUCAUUCUUCACCGAAGAGCUAUAGCCAUCCUGGUCAUCAUAAUACUUGGACCACAACAUGAUCCCACCAUACUUCCCCGCACUCUUGAUCAAUGGGAGAACAUCAGACUUUAGGUCAUCAGCCGGGAUGAACCCGCUCCCAGCAGCCUCAGGUGAUGCCGGUAGACCAAGGAAGAUCUGCUUUGCAGGAACGGUCAACCACUGCUUCCAUGAAUCAGCUAGAUUGGAAGUGCUUCCUGAAGUAUAUUGGCAAGGAGCAUUGUUGUAGAACUGCACCCACACAUAGUCAAAGAGACCGGUGUUGAGGGCGCCUCCCACCCAUGCAUCAGGGAAAGGGCACUGUGGCGCGGCAGUCAAGUACACUCUCCUGCCGGAGUUGCUAUACCCUUUUAGGAACCUUGCAAGAUCGUCCCAGUGCAGGGGUGUACCGCCCUCGAUAUCGAAGUCGAUGCCAUCGAGGACUGCAUCACCGAGAGGCCGCGAAGGUGACGUACCUCCUAAGAAGUUGUUCCACAGGUACGUCGCGACAUUCUUAGCGUCCUGGGACGAGGAAAGGUAGUAACCGCCUGCUCCGCCACCGAUGGAGAGCAUGACCUUGACGCCGUUGCUCUGGCAUGACUUGACGUCGGAACUUAGACUAGCGCACCCGCCGUUGGUUGGGACGCAGUGGCCUGCCAGGUUGAGGACUGGCGGCUGGCCAUUGCCGAAGGAGGAAAGGAAGGCGAUGUUGACAAAUUUGUAGUUGCCAGUGGCGCAGGUUGCAGCCAGCGUGCCCUCUCCACCAUUCUGACCCCAGUAGAUGGAAAUGCCGCCGGCUUCCGACCCGAGAAACUGCGCCGCGGCUACUGCCACGACCAACAGUUGCAGCAGAGAUGACCUAGUAGCCAUCUCUGGGGCAAUAUUUGUUCCUAUUGGACUCUUCUCUCCACUGUUGAUGUCUUCAGAUGUAGGAGUAUUGCUUUUGUUUUGCUGCGUGUGGUGAGUUUGUGCUGGGAUGGUUGGCUUAUAUACGAGGGCACUCUUCGUGUGAAAUCUGGCACCCCCGUAUUGUGUAUGCUUAUGCGUGACUUGUUGGGCACAUGGAUGAACACUUGUGAACGCGCUCUGCUGGCAGCUUCGAUUUAACGGCGACGGUGUUCGUGAUUUUGUACUACACCAUCAACUUGUAAGAGAUUAUCUUGUACUAGUUGAACAGAAGGACGUGCAAGGCACCUGUAUAGAAUAAGAAGAGGCGUACAACAGCUCUGUGUUGGCGACGGCAAACUAAGCGAUUAAGAACAGAGUAAUAAUCAGAAAAGCGAUUAAGAACAGAAUAAUAGAAGCCGUACAAUAUACUCCCUCCGUUUUUAAAUAUAAAAUAAAUACUUUUAAAGGUUUUUAUAUAGACUACAUACGAACAUACGAAUAUAUAUAGACAUAUUUUAGAGUAUUUUGCUUCAUUUGUAGUCAAUAUUAGAAUAUCUAAAAGAAAUUAUAUUUAGAAACGGAGGGAGUAAGAGAUAAAUCUUGUACGUUCACGUUCGUCAUGUCGUGUUUUCUUAAGGGUAUAUUUUCGUCUCUUCGUCUUUCUUUGACAUAGUAUAGAGGCAGACAUUCAUACAUAUGCAUAUGCACUCAUUCUUAUAAACACACACGCUCACCUUAUUUUAUGAGCAUCUCCGAGAGACUGAGCCAAUACAUCAUUUUGAGAUUGAUAAAGUCGCCACAGACAUCUUUGUAGUCGACCAUAACGUCUCCUCGCACUAAAGGCAUGUCACCGGUAGGUCUCUAAUAAAUCUAGAAAAAUACGAACUCCGAUGUCAAGUCUAGAACUUGAAAUCUGAUGGGCCGAGAAUACCAUUAUUCUCCUAACCAUCCAACCAGAUAUUAGUUUGCUACUUUCGCCUGUCUGGCGUGCUCAAAGCCUAAUGAGUGGUCUCACAUGAAGGGUACGGGGGCACGCCUAUAUCUUGCUUCUUGUAAGUCAAAUAAUACAUAUAUAAUAUUAACCAUUGUUCUAACACUUUACAGAUGUUUGCAUGUUUAAAAAAUAAUAUUGAUGACAUUUUUGAAAAUGCUGACCAUGCGUUUAAAAAUGUUAGCUUUGUAUUUAAAACAUAUUUACCACGUAUUAUAAAAUAUUCAAUGUGCGUUCAAUACGUAUUUUGCUAAAUGUUCAACAUGUAUCAAAAAAAUGUUCAACCUGUAUCUAAAAAAUGUUCUACUGUUAUGCAAAAAUGUUCAACACGUGUUUGGUCAGUAGAUGCGCAUGAACAAUGGUUGUCACAUCCGAAACCGACAUUGAAAUUAGAUUUCAAAAAGCGCAUCAGGGGCAAAGUAGUCAUUGUACAUAUUCAUAUGCCCCUGUGCCUUGUUCAUUCAACACUCGAUGUCCAUUUAUUGAACCCUUAAAGUUAAGAACAUGCUCCUCCUCACACAUUUCUUUAAGUAUCGCCCCCAUCAUCGUUGUUUCAUCCUCAUCUUCGUCAUCAUCGGGCAAAGACAAAUCCAUGAAUCCGACGUGAAAGUACUCAUCCUCCUUAGAUCUGUGCUCAAGGCCACAUCCGAAGCAUGGGUGCCUCCGAGGCCCUGUCCCGAGAUUGAAUCCGGUGUUAGGGCGGCAAUGUUGGCAGUAUCCUCCGACCGGUCUGACAGCCAGUCCGAGAAAGCAAGUUUUCCACGGAUAUCCGUGGCGUACUCCAGAUUGCCGAACCUGAUGAUCUGGCCUGGAGGAAGGUUCUCAAUUUGGCUGAGGUGGCCCGUCGAGUUGGCGUGCAACACAAUGUUGUCGAAGGCAAAAAGUUGGCCGUGGAAAAUGAUAUUCCCACAAUCGAUGCCGUCGCUGAUCUGAAGGCGAGCCAUCGAGCCUUUGUGACCACACAACGAGACCUGCAUGGGCCACCAAUGUCGGUACUAAAAUCGGCGGAUGUCGGGUAGGGGUCCCAAGCUGGUGAUCUUGGCACGAUGGUAACGAGAAGAAAGGGGACACGGUAUUUACCCAGGUUCGGGCCCUCUCGAAGAGGUAAAACCCUACGUCCCGCUCUUGUUAUAUUGAUCAUGGAUGGGGUACAAAGUACAUGAUGAUAUACCUCGAGACAUAUACAUGACCUCUAACCUCUCAAAAUCUUUCCUGUACAGACUAAACUCCUCGGCUUUAUAGGCACCAGGGGUAUGUAGGGUUAUAAGGAUGUCGGCUACAACUAGGGAUAACAUGUAGAUCAUUUGAAUAUGCCUUGAAGUAUACACCAAGUCUUCGGAGGAUCCCAUCUUGAGCACGCCGAGGGCCAGAGCAUGUGUGGCCCAUUCUUCAGUUGUUGUUGGGUCCUCGGCCGACCCAUGAAUGACAGGCCGACGUGGUGUGCACCCCUAAUCCAGGACACCAUCACAUGGGAAUUUGAAAACACACAGAAAAGAUAAAGCAAAACUAACAAAACCUAUAAAAACUAAGGAUUAUGCAGUGCUCUGGUUAAAAUGCCUGAAAACUAGUAUUUAUGCAAAACAGACAUAAACAAGCGUUCGGUCUUUUCCAACUAUAAAGGUUGGCGUUGGCGGUCAGUCCACAUGUGAGACCAACAAUCUUCACCAAUAAACAGAUGCAUCCCUACCUAUAUGUGGGACUAACAAUCUUCGAAGAGAUAUAAAUAAAUAAAUAUACUUUUACUCACAUGUGGUUCCUAACACAAAUAAAUAACUACACUAAUAUUUUUAGUUUCUCUUCUCAACUGAGUUCUUCCAGUUCUUUUUUUUGCGGUUUAAACUUUGUAUUACUCAAGUGGUAAGUCCACAGUCUGCAUUACAAAGUUCAAUGACCUCUGAUAAACCAGAGUUAAGCCACACUACUGUUCUACUCUUGGUUCUAGCAAAAUUUGCCAAAAAAUCACUAACAUUAUUUUGACUACGAUGAACAUACUUGAAAAUAGUACUACGAAGACUCCUCAGGUGCUUGAUUUCCUUUACCAAUGAUGAGAACAGUGACCUAUCAGGCGAAUCAUUUGUGAUCAUGUUCAAGGCCUCCCUUGAGUCCAUUUCGACCUGAAUAGGUAGCUCCGUUCUCUGAAUUGCCAGUGAGAGACCCUCCAUACAUGCACUUAGUUCAGACUCCAAUGCAUUCCUGCAUGAAAAGAGCUCCCUGCAUGAUGUAUAUAUGAUCUGGCCCUUGUUGUCUCGGAGGACCAUGCCAGCUCCCGCCUUCCCAUCUAAAGACCAAGAACCAUCAACGUUGAGCUUUGACCAACCCUCCAUAGGAAAAACCCAUGCGAUGUUGUGAGCAACAGAUGGUAUCACUUGCGGUUCGGGCAAACAAUAUGCAACAACCUAUUUACCUUUCAGAAGCUCCUCAUCUGAAUAUUUGAGCGAUAUCAAGGAGUCCAAAUAUCCCAUCAAAAACCGUUUCGAUGCCUCCAUCGGAGGUGGUUCUUUGUAGUCGAAUAGUAAUCGAAUAUCCCAUCAAAAACUGUUUCCAGUUCUAUAUGACAUAACAAGAGAUGAAAAAAUAGUAAUCGAAUUGAGCUUCUCCUCCUACCCGAUCCACAACCUUGUGCAAUCAACUUACUAAUGCAUAUUCUCAUAUGUUUAAACAUUUGAAAUAUUGUGUCUUGUAAAGAACCUACUAUGACCGUUUAAGAUUCUCAAAUACCUGCAGCAAGAUCUGGCAUUGCAUGUUUUCCUUUUUCUUAAAUCAUGAACCACAUGCAAAGGUUGUAGGGUAUGAACAUGUUUUAACGACUUCCUAAGCUAGUGACAUAUGUCCUCGUGUGUUAUAGUUUCAUAGCAAUGCACGCACAUCAUGCUAGUAGAACAUAAUAUGGGAGUCUAACUACGAGGAUAUGAAACAAACGAGCCAAAAUGAUGUGAUGCGUUUUGGACUCAUUAGCGGUAGUUCGGGAUUUUGCGAGGUGCACAAGCAAGAUGUCGAUACAACAUUGAUGAUGUAUGGUGAGUCUGGUUGUCUCAAUGCUCGAUGGUCAUGAUUUCAACACGCCCGUCACCACAAAGGAUCAUACAAUCGCCUCAACGAGAACUGAUGCUACUCAUGAGGUCUAUCAACAUUUAUACUCGUAUUUCUUAUAAAUAUGGUUAUGCACACGAGACAUCAAGCCCAUGGAAGGCAUAUCCAUGUACAAGUCCUGAAGAGCUAUGGAACCUUCCCUUCCGGCAUGUUUGGCUCAUGGAAACUGGAGCAGAUAGGAAAGAUUGCGUGGAUGAGUGCGGGUUCAUCAAGAUUAAGGAAGCUAUGCAUUAUUCCUCUGUGGUUAGGAGUUAUGUCGAGGUUCCUCAUCUUGCAUACCAUAGUAGAACACCUACACACAAGGACCCAUAGGUAGAAGCAGAAGAACAAGCUAGUUUAACACCACUACAACACCACGAUGCAAGAAGCGCUCUGCAUCGACAUUGUGGCAAAAUAUGUAGAUCUAUUGCAAGAAUCUAGAUUGUUAUGGUUUAAUUCAUGUUAACCACCAUCAUACUUUUGGAUUAAGAUCAUAAGGGAAGACAAAGAAAAUAACUAGGAUUCUUACCCACAUGGGGGCCUCAACCCAGGUAAAAUCGUGCAUCCCUGACUUCAUCCUCAUCCGCCUACGCACGCGAGUUUGUUUAUGAGAUUCUUGCCGCCUUAUCAUUGUUCAUUUGAGCAUUCUAUGAUUUUAACAGCUCUAGAUUUUUAGUGUGUUUUGACUUUGUUCGAUCCCACCAUGGGAUGCGGUGAGUAAUGUUCUACUCCUUAAGUUAGUACAAAGUUGAGUCACUUAUUUUGGGACAGAGGAAGUAUUAUUUAUGUGCGUGGGUGAGGAUUUCUCUUAUUGUGCUGCCUCUUUGAUGUUUCUUUGUUUUUUUGCAGCUUUUUUCGAAAGAGGCUUUUGCAUUUGUUCUCUGUGCACCCAACACCAUUUAAUAUAAAUGAAAACCAGCCAUGACAUGCAAACCUUUUCAUGUUGAACUAAUUAUCAUUAGUCCACAUUUCCUCAUUUGAAAACGCUACUAGAUAAUGGAAUGAAAGAUCGAAGUAAAAAUUUAUUUAUAUUACACACGACAGUCCGGCACCACAUAAUAACUUAAAAAUCACAAGGGGAAAUAAAAUAAAUCCUCACACAACACAAGGACGUGCCAAUCAUAUGGAUCAGAUGAAAGUCGACCCUCUCAAACAUCACUCUUCACCGAAGAGCUAUAGCCAUCCUGGUCAUCAUAAUACUUGGACCACAACAUGAUCCCACCAUACUUCCCCGCACUCUUGAUCAAUGGGAGAACAUCAGACUUUAGGUCAUCAGCCGGGAUGAGCCCGCUCCCAGCAGCCUCAGGUGAUGCCGGGAGACCAAGGAAGAUCUGCUUUGCAGGAACGGUCAACCACUGCUUCCAUGAAUCAGCUAGAUUGGAAGUGCUUCCUGAAGUAUAUUGGCAAGGAGCAUUGUUGUAGAACUGCACCCACACAUAGUCAAAGAGACCGGUGUUGAGGGCGCCUCCCACCCAUGCAUCAGGGAAAGGGCACUGUGGCGCGGCAGUCAAGUACACUCUCCUACCGGAGUUGCUAUACCCUUUUAGGAACCUUGCAAGAUCGUCCCAGUGCAGGGGUGUACCGCCCUCGAUAUCGAAGUCGAUGCCAUCGAGGACUGCAUCACCGAGAGGCCGUGAAGAUGACGUACCUCCUAAGAAGUUGUUCCACAGGUACGUCGCGACAUUCUUAGCGUCCUGGGACGAGGAAAGGUAGUAACCGCCUGCUCCGCCACCGAUGGAGAGCAUGACCUUGACGCCGUUGCUCUGGCAUGACUUGACGUCGGAACUUAGACUAGCGCACCCGCCGUUGGUUGGGACGCAGUGGCCUGCCAGGUUGAGGACUGGCGGCUGGCCAUUGCCGAAGGAGGAAAGGAAGGCGAUGUUGAAAAAUUUGUAGUUGCCAGUGGCGCAGGUUGCAGCCAGCGUGCCCUCUCCACCAUUCUGACCCCAGUAGAUGGAAAUGCCGCCGGCUUCCGACCCGAGAAACUGCGCCGCGGCUACUGCCACGACCAACAGUUGCAGCAGAGAUGACCUAGUAGCCAUCUCUGGGGCAAUAUUUGUUCCUAUUGGACUCUUCUCUCCACUGUUGAUGUAUUCAGAUGUAGGAGUAUUGCUUUUGUUUUGCUGCGUGUGGUGAGUUUGUGCUGGGAUGGUUGGCUUAUAUACGAGGGCACUCUUCGUGUGAAAUCUGGUAGAACAUCAAGAUCGUCACCACGCCGUCGUGCUGACGGAACUCCUCCCCGACGCUUUGCUGGAUCGGAGCCCGGGGAUCGUCAUCGAGCUGUACGUGUGCUAAGAACUCGGAGGUGCCGGAGUAACGGUGCUUGGAUCGGUCGGAUCGGGAAGACGUACGACUACUUCCUCUACGUUGUGUCAACGCUUCCGCAGUCGGUCUGCGUGGGUACGUAGACAACACUCUCCCCUCUCAUUGCUGUGCAUCAUCAUGAUCUUGCGUGUGCGUAGGAAUUUUUUUGAAAUUACUACGUUCCCCAACAAUAGAGACACUCAAGAUGUGAUAUGCGAAGAAAAACCGUGCAAGAGCGUGGAUAUGAUGACCGUCACCGCAACAUUGGCAUUGGCGUAACAACAACACUGAGGUCGGCUUAAGGAUGUGUGUUUUAAAUUUAUUACAUCAUCAUAGGAAGUACUACUUAGCAUACUAGCGGGUACAAGCACAGCAUGGCGAGUAGCCCCUUGGUUUUGGAGGAGGUUCUUGAGCAUAAAAAAAUCGAUAGAAACAAAACAAAUGCACCUUGAAACUCAAAUGAUUUUCUGAGGUGUUUGAUAUUCUUAAAAAAUUAUGUUUCUUCUAAAGUAGAAGUCCAAUCAUUGUACUAGUAGUCAUGUACAUCUAAAUGCACAUUUUAUACAAUUCAUUACAUCAUACAGAUAUGUAAUGACAUUUGCAAACAAGAUGAGGGAGAAAGUCUUGCUUGCAUUAAUUGUUGACAUUGGACAGAGGCUCGAUGGCUUCAGGAGGCAACUAUGUCGGCUUCCCUACCUCUGAGAAAAUCUAUCCACCGAUUCCAGGGCGAGCAACCAGAUUUCUUUCUUGUAUGAGAUCAUGGUACAAUGUUUUUUCUUUUUGCGGAAGAAGCCAUCUAGCAUAGUGUUGUCUGUGAGCAAGCACCGAAAGGUAGAGAUGGUGGAUGAUGGCUUUGGCGAAUUGAGAAAUGAGUUUGUCCUUUUGCUGGUGAAAACUUGUGAUCUAGCUAUAACAUACAUGUGACGACGAUAUUCUUCUUGAAGGUGUUAGCUUGAGGGUGAUAAACCACAGACAAACUUUUUAUUGGGUUAGACCAAAUAGCAUCCCUGAAUGAUCACCUAUUUCUUAGUGAAGUUGUUGUCUUCAAGUACAAUCCUCUCGGGUAUUUUAUGUAUUACUGUGCUAGUGUGUUUUGGACCUUGGCGUUAAGAUUGUGCGAAAUGAUGGAGAAAAUGACUGCCAUGAGGCCAAUUAUGAAGAUGAUAGACUGAAAUUUGGUUUCAUUUUUGUAAAAAUAUUUCUUCAUCUUCAUGCCUAACCAUUUCCAAAUUUCCUAGCUAAAUAAUUCUACUUCCAGGAAUAUAAACAACAAUAACUUAGUUCCUUGUACAUAUGCACACAUUAUAAAGAGUGGUCAGUUUUGUGUUGGAUGCUUGAGUAUGAUGAAUAGUUCAAUUGUAUGGUUCUUAAUUUUGUGUCAACCAUGUUUGGGUGAAUUGCGAUUAUAUUUUUGUGAGUUGUCUACGACACUAGACAUAUCGUAGACGGUUUUGAGAGUUAUGGUACGUGAUAUGAAGAUAUCCAUAUGGUUAAAAAGUCGCCUGUAAUAUUAUGGAGAUAUCACAUACUGUCAACCGUGGACGGCUCGAGGAACCUUUUUUUUUCCUUCAGGAAGAGUGUAUUGUUCUUACAAAACUGUAUGCGAUGUCACACACAUGAUAGUGCACCAUUGACCAUAUAAAUAAACAUAAGAAAAAAAAAACACCCACUAUGUAAUUUGCAAGACAUCCUAUAUAUGAUCGGAGAUUGCCUUCUAGUAGAGUUUCCUUCCACGAUCUUCUCAAGAGGAAGAAUGCCGACUAUGCGUUCUAUCCUCAGCCUUGAAAAUAAUGACCCCGCCAUCUUGCCAACAUUCUUUAGCAAUAUUUCAACAACCGUAACAUUCUCUAGCACUACUUCUCAUAGCAUUGAAUAAUAAGAUCGUUUUUCUGUAAUCCCAUUGUUCUCAAAGCUCGACAAAAACCAUUGAUUCAUACCUAUAUGUGAGACCAACAACCUUCACCAAUAAACAAAUACAUCCCUACCUAUAUGUGGGACCAACAAUCUUCGAAGAAAGAUAAAUAAGUAAAUAUACUUUUACUCACAUGUGUGAACUAACACAAAUAAACAACUACAAUAAUAUUUUUAGUUUCUCUUCUCAACUGAGUUCUUCCAGUUCUAUAUGACACAACAAGAGAGUGAAAAAAUUGUAAUCGGUUAGAGCUUGUCCUCCUACCCGGUCCACGGCCUUGUCCAAUCAACUUACUAAUGCAUAUUCUCAUAUGUUUCAACUUAUGAAAUGUUGUGUCUUGUAAAGAACCUACUAUGACCAUUUAAAAUUCUCAAUUGACUGCAACAAGAUCUGGCAUUGCAUGUUUUGCUUUUUUUAAUCAUGAACCACAUGCAAAGGUUAUAGGGUAUGAACAUAUUUUAACGACUUCUUAAGGUAGUGACCUAUCUCCUUGUAUUUUAUAGUUUCAUAGCAAUCCACAGACAUCAUGCUAGUAGAACAUAAUAUGGUGUUUUUACUAUGAGGCUAUGCAACAAAUGAGCCAAAAUGAUAUGAUGCAUUUUGGACUCAUUAGGGGUAGCAGGGGAUUUUGUGAGGUGCACAAGCGAGAUGUCGAGACAACGAUGAGGAUGUAUGAUGAUUCUGGUUGUCUCAGUGCUCCAUGGUCAUGGUGUCAACACGCCCUUCACCACAACGGAUCGUCCAAUCACCUCAACGAGAACUAAUGCUACUCAUGAGGUCUAUCAACAUAUAUACUCGUUUUUUUAUAAAUAUGAUUAUACACAUGAGACAUCAAACCCACGGAAGGCAUAUCCAUGUACAAGUCCUAAACAACUAUGGAACCUCCCCUUCCGACAUGUGUGGCUUAUGGAAACUGGAGCAGAUAAGAAAGAUUGCGUGGUUGAGUGCACAUUCAUCAAGAUUAAGGAAGUUAUGCCUUAAUCCUUUGUCGGUAGGAGUUAGGUCUAGGUUCCUCAUCUUGGAUACCACAGUAGAACACCUACAUAUAAGGACCCAUAGGUAGAAGCAGGAGAACAAGCUAUUUUAACACCAGUAUAACACCAUGAUGUAGAUGGAUGCAGAGAAGCGCUUUGCAUCGGCAUUGUGGCAAGAUAUGUAGAUCUAUUGCAGGAAUCUAGAUUGUUAUAGUUUCACUCAUGUUAGCCACCAUCAUACUUUUGCAUUAAGAUCAUAAUGGAAGACAAAGAAAAUAAGUAGGAUUCUUACCCAACCCAGGUAAAAUCGUGCAUCCCUGACUUCAUCCUCAUCCGCAUACGCACGCGAGUUUGUUUCCGAGAUCCUUGCAGCCUUAGCAUUGUUCAUUUGAGCAUUCUAAGAUUUUAACAGCUCUAGAUUUGGAGUGUGUUUUGACUUUGGUCGAUCCCACCAUAGGAUGGGGUGAGUAAUUUUCUAUUAUUUAUGGGCGUGGGUGGGGAUUGGGUUUGUUGUGUUGCCUCUUCAAUAUUUCUUUGCUUUUUGCAGCUUUGUUCAAAAGAGGCUUUGCAUUUGUUCUCUGUGCACCCAACGCCAUUUAAUAUAAAUGAAAACCAGCCAUGACAUGCAAAGCUUUUCAUGUUGAACUAAUUAUCAUUAGUCCACAUUUCCUCAUUUGAAAAUGCUAGUAGAUAAUGGAAUGAAAGAUCGAAGUAAGUAAAAAUUUAUUUAUAUUACACACGACAAUCCAGCACCACAUAAUAACUUAAAAAUCACAAGGGGAAAUAAAAUAAAUCCUCACACAACACAAGAAAGUUCCAAUCAUAUGGAUCAGAUGAAAGGCAAACCUCUCAAACAUCAUUCUUCACCGAAGAGCUAUAGCCAUCCUGGUCAUCAUAAUACUUGGACCACAACAUGAUCCCACCAUACUUCCCCGCACUCUUGAUCAAUGGGAGAACAUCAGACUUUAGGUCAUCAGCCGGGAUGAACCCGCUCCCAGCAGCCUCAGGUGAUGCCGGUAGACCAAGGAAGAUCUGCUUUGCAGGAACGGUCAACCACUGCUUCCAUGAAUCAGCUAGAUUGGAAGUGCUUCCUGAAGUAUAUUGGCAAGGAGCAUUGUUGUAGAACUGCACCCACACAUAGUCAAAGAGACCGGUGUUGAGGGCGCCUCCCACCCAUGCAUCAGGGAAAGGGCACUGUGGCGCGGCAGUCAAGUACACUCUCCUGCCGGAGUUGCUAUACCCUUUUAGGAACCUUGCAAGAUCGUCCCAGUGCAGGGGUGUACCGCCCUCGAUAUCGAAGUCGAUGCCAUCGAGGACUGCAUCACCGAGAGGCCGCGAAGAUGACGUACCUCCUAAGAAGUUGUUCCAUAGGUACGUCGCGACAUUCUUAGCGUCCUGGGACGAGGAAAGGUAGUAACCGCCUGCUCCGCCACCGAUGGAGAGCAUGACCUUGACGCCGUUGCUCUGGCAUGACUUGACGUCGGAACUUAGACUAGCGCACCCGCCAUUGGUUGGGACGCAGUGGCCUGCCAGGUUGAGGACUGGCGGCUGGCCAUUGCCGAAGGAGGAAAGGAAGGCGAUGUUGACAAAUUUGUAGUUGCCAGUGGCGCAGGUUGCAGCCAGUGUGCCCUCUCCACCAUUCUGACCCCAGUAGAUGGAAAUGCCGCCGGCUUCCGACCCGAGAAACUGCGCCACGACUAUUGCCACGACCAACAGUUGCAGCAUAGAUGAUCUACUAGCCAUCUCUGGGGCAAUAUUGUCCCUAUUGAACUCUUAUCUCCACUGUUGGUGUCUUCAGGUGUAGGAGUAUGCCUUUUUGUUUGGUGCUGAGUUUGUGCUUGGACGGUUGGCUUAUAUACGAGGGGAAUCGUCGUGUGAAAUCUGCCACCCCAUAUUGUUUAUCCUCAUGCGUGGCUUGGUGGGAACAUGGAUGAACACUUUACACUUGCGAACGCGCUCUGCUGCCAGCUUCGAAUUAACGGCGACGGUGUUCGUGAUUUUGUACUAUUGGACAUAAUAACGUGCAUAUAGAAUAAGAAAAGGUUUACUCCAGUUGUGCGUUGGCGACGGCACAUUAAGAAUACUAGAGAAUACCCUGCGCGUUGCCGUGGGAACCGAUUACACUAUAUUUUAGUAAUUUAAUUGUAUGAAACUUUCAUAGUUAAAUUAAAGCUAAAAAUAAAUAUUAUAUAUUGUAUUUGAUUAUUGUGUAGUUAGAUUUUUUUAAUAUAAGUGGCAUAACGUAAUGAAAAAAAAUCAUGCAUUUUGAGUGGACCUUUGAUAAGGUGACAUGUGUGAUGUGGUAAAAGGUAUGCAUGAGAUCAAUUAAUAAUGAAAAACUUUUCCUCAUGUAUGUAGUGGUGGACCUUUGAUGAGGUGGCAUGCGUGCAUAUUAAGAUAAAUAGAAUAAUGAGGAUCAACUUCUUAUGUACUCCCUCUGUAAACUAAUAUAAGAGUGUUUAGAUAACUAAAGUAGUGAUCUAAACGCUCUUAUAUUAGUUUACGGAGGGAGUAUAUAGAAUAAUAAUACUCCUUCCGUGCCUAAUUAGUUGACUCAAUAUUUGUUUGAAUAUAGAUGUAUGAUACAUCCGUAUCUAACAAAUUUAAAACAACUAAGUUGGGCGGAGAUAAUAAAAUAAUACUAAAAAGGAGAAUAAGAGAUAAUCUUGUACUGUUCGUCCUGUCGUGUUAUUUUGGGUACUUUCGUGUCGUCCAUCGUGUGCUCGAAGUCACACAUAAAGAAAACAGCCGCGUAUAUCUCGCUUCUAGCGACACAAAAAGUUGGCUCGGUUUAGGCGAGGAGGCAGUGGGACGGUCCAGUAGCGCACUCUUCUUUCGUUCCGUUUGCUUUUUUGUACGUUAGCUUCUAAUGUAUACAUUAAAAAUGUAACACCUUUUGAUGAAUAGUUAACAUUUUUAUGAAAAUUGAAAAAUUUCUCUAUAAAUUAACAGUAAAAAGUGUUUUUUCGGGAAUUUUAAAGUGUUUUCAAAAAAUAUGAACAUAUUUUUUGAAAUAUUUUAAAACUAUUUUUAUGUGUUAAAGCUUUGGGCAUUUUUGUUUGGUAAUUUUACAGAUAGUUGGUUGUUUUGAUGGGAAGAUUUUUUUUUAUUAUCUGAGCUUUGCCCAAACAAAUUAGUUAACGUACACAGAUAGACCCAUGAACUCAUCUUCCUACCCCCGCUCUAGUACUACUUGUGUUCUACUAAAAAAUAGUACUCCCUUGUGCGCCGUCGUGAGGACACUUCCUUAUUUUUUUUCAUUCUCCAAUACUCCCUUGUGCGCUUCCGUGAGGGCACUUCCUUAUUUUUUUUCAUUCUCCAAUGGAAAAAGUCCAAAACAAACCUUCAAUUUGUAGGCGAAAGCUAAAUCAAACCCCAAACUCUUAAUCCCUGAAAUCAGCACACCAAACUCUCUAAUCCCGGUCUAUUUUAAACCUUACAGAACAUGGCCGGGAUUUAGUGAAUUGGGCCGGCCCAGUAGCGCAAUUGCUCGCGCGCGCGCACUAAUCUGGUUUUUUCUUAGUUUCUUCCUUUUGCGUUUUCAUUUCUUUUUUCAUUUUUACACAUGUCUAAUUUUUCUCAGUACCCAAUGUACAUUUUUAAUGCACACAUUAAUUAUUUUUGGAUAAACUUUUGAUAUUUUCAAAUAUAUUAUGUACAUUUAUAAAUUACAUGUUUUCAAAACUUUUGAAUACAUGGUAAUAUUUUUUCAACUACAGGUUUUACAUUUUAUUAAUGAUGAUAAACAUUUUAUAAAACUACACAGCACUCUUUUACGUGGUUCAACAUUUUUAAAUAUGCAUACACUUUUUUCAAGGACAUGCCACAUAUAUUCUGUUAAGGUUUUGACACAUUUUUUUACAUCACGCAAACAUUUUUUUACAUUGUAAACACAUUCUUUUAAAAAUGUCACAAACACAUUUUUUGGAACUCGUGAUCAUUCUUUAAAUGUUACAGUUUUAAUCUAUAAAACAUUUUUUGAAUCAAACAAAUAUUAUUAUACAAUGUAUAAACAUUUGGAUUGGCCCAUACAUUUUUUAAAACUUGUGAUAUUUUUUAGAUGUCACAAAAUAUUUUCAGGUUUCAGAAAAUGUUUAUGUAUCAAAACGUGUCCGCACUUUAAUAUUUUGUUCAGGUUGCAGAAAAAAAAUUAUGUUUCAAAAAGCAUUUGCACUUUAAAAAUUUGUUCAGGUUUCAAAAAAUGUUUACAGAGGUGUUCGCUUUUUCAAAGUUGUUGGUUUUUUAAAAGUAUUCGAAAUUUUCAAAAAGGUCUCACACUUUAUAAAAUGUUCAAAGAUUUCAUAAAUAAAUAGGUUUUCAAUAAUCUUUACAAUGUUCGGCGCUUUGGUUUCUGAUUAAAUAUUUCGGGCCUCUGCUACGUCAGUCAUUGUCGUCUGGUGUAGUGGCUACCAGGUCCCAAGUUCGAGUCCACAACAUGUUUUUUUGUUUUGGAAUUAUUACGUCCCCCAUUAAGAAAAAGAAAGAAAGAAUUUUUUACGUCGCGUGUUAAGGAAAAAAAACUCGCUUCAUGUCUGGUGGGCUGGCCCAGUGGAGUCCACUGCCAACAAUCCGAAAUAUUUUUUAAAUACAUUAUUUAUGAAAGAAUUUACAAAGUUCCAAAAACAGUAUUAAAAACGUGACACAAAUUUGAAAAUACGAAAUAUUUUUCAUAGGAUGUGAAAAACUGUUUGAAUUCUGAACAUUUUUUGAUAAAUGUGGUUUUUUUAAAUCGCGAACAGUUUUUUAAAAUGCUAAUAGAGUUGAUUUUGUGCGAAACACGAAAUUCCAAACAGUUUUUAAAAACACAAAACGAAUUGAAUUUCUGCGAAAAAUAGAAAACAGAAACAUUUUUAACUUUUGAACAAUUUUAGAAAUAUGCGAACAUUUUUUAAACCUCGUGAAUUCUUGUUGUGUUAUAGUGGGCUGGCCCAAAUUCUAGUCCGUGAGAGUAGCUGGAAUCCCGGCCGGGAUUGUAUUCUUCCCAGCGUGCCAAACAGGUCUAGGGUCCAAAAUAGGGCGGGAUUACAAGUUCAGAGUGCCAAUUUCCGGAAUUCAAGACUUUCGUCUACAACUUCAAGGUUUAUUUUGGACUUUUUCCUUCUCCAAUACUCCCUUGUACGCCACCGCCGCCCUCUCUCCCGCUCCCUCUUUUCUCUUCUCUCUGUGAUCCCCCAUCUGGUCCGUACCAGCACCAGCUAGCCCGCCCCGUUUCCCUUUUGUGUGCCUCCUCGUGUGUGCACGCUGCAGGUUGAUAUAAACUUGCGAUUGUAUUUAAAUCGGCAAUAAUUCAUUCAAUGAAGCGAGGUGGUACCAUUCCAGAGUACCUUGAUUAGUGGUGCGUAGAUUCUACAUAAAAUUUACCAUGGGCACAGGCGCAACCAGGCCCGUAUGAGCGAUAGAAGAAGCUAGGUGAUAACCCAAAAUCUGGAGUGCGGGUUAAUUACUUAAAAGCACAGGGUUUUUUUGUGCAAAAACACUGCAAUGAUGAACCCGACAGAAGCAAUCUGUGCUUUAUUAGUAGGUAAAGAUUGGUUUUGUACUUAUUUUCCUUUUGCUUAGAAUUUUAAAAUAUACUGAAUCUAUAUAUUUCAUAAAUUAAUUUGGUUAAUAUUUUUAAAAGUUCACCUCACCUUAUAAAAGUAUUCAUGAUGUAAAAUAUUUAGUCGCACAAUUUAAAGUUUUCUCAUAUCAUUCAGAAAAAUGUCCAUGACAUUCAAAAUAUGUUUACAUGUUUAUACUUUUUCUCAUGUCUUUAUUUUAGAAUUUUCAUUAAAAUUUUAAAUUUUAUCUAUUUUGGAAAAAUGUGCGUACCAUUUCAACCAAUCGUUAAUGAAUUUUAAAAAUAUUCAUGUGUUUAAAAUACAUUUUCAUGUUUUUAAAAGAAAUCUCACAAUUUUAUAAAAAUGUGCAUAAUACAAAAAUAUUUGUUGAUGCCAUUUUAAUAACAUGUUCUUACACAUAACAAAUGUUUGGACGGUUUCCAAAAUAAUAUUCAUGCCAUUUUAGAAAAAUGUUGAACAUGCAUUUAAAAAUGUUAGCUUUGUAUUAAAAACAUAUUCACUAUGUAAUUAAAUAUUGUUUAGUGUGCAUUUCACAAAUGUUCAACACAUAUUUUGGCGAAAUGUGUAUCUCAAUACGGUCAACCAUUAUGCAAAAAUGUUCAAAGUUUAUUCAAUAAGUUGAUGCGCAUGAACAAGAGUAAAUUGCAGAAAACCACCAGUUUGAGGGCUAGGUUAGCAGAAAUCACUACGUUACAGUUUCUUGGCAAAAAACACCAACUCUCCCGUAAACAAUUUGCAAAUACCACUGAUCGGCGGAUCGGACACCGAUAAGUGGAUUUAUGACAAGUGGGGCCUGGUUUUUGCCGACGUGGCGCUGUCAGCUGGUCCGACAGCCGUUAGACGCCGUCAGAGGGCGCUCUCGCACGUGAACUUAAGUGAUUCACUCCUCUGUCUCUCACUCUCACUCUCACUUUGCUCUCGCACGCUCUCGCUCUCGCUCUGUUCUUGCUCGCCGCCGCCGGCCGCUCUGCUCUGCGUCGCGCCGCCACCGCAUCAUCAUGGUGUCCUGGAGUGAAAGCGACGACAACAGCGAGCACACUAGGCAGUACAUCAGCUCUGAUUCUAACGACGGCAGAAUGCAGGUAUGCAUUUGGGGAUAUUUUCCUAGGGUUAGGGUUAGGGUUUGUUAUAUGAUUUGGGGAUAUUUUUCUCAAAGGAGCUUGUGUGUUAGCUGAUGAAAUGUUAUGCAUUUCUUUGCACUCCCAGGUCCCUGCUUCAACUGAGGACUCCGAUUUCAAGGGCCCUGAAGAUGAAAUGCAGGUUUUGUGCCAUGGUCACGGGAAGUUAGCAGAGAGGCGCGUUGCUUUUGAAGGAAUUCUAACUGGGAGGAGGUUUCUCUGUUGCACUGAGAAGGUAUAUGCUUCUAAGUGAGACACAAUCAUUGUUAGGAUUUGGCCAUUGUUUAUUUAUUGUUAAGUUGGGAGACUGUUGAGGCAGUCAUUGUUUACUCUUAGGAGAGUGUUGAGUCAGUCAUUGUUUACUCUGAGGAGAGUGUUUAGGCAGUCAUUUUUUACUCUGGCAACAAUGUUAAUUAGAUUAAAGUACAUUGGAUGCAUGGGUUAGUUUAUUCCUAACAACAUCACAUAAUUGUAUAAUUGAGAGCAGAACAUCAGUGCUUUCUUCUUGAAAUAUAAUAUCUUUAGCUUUGGUUGUGAUGAAAGGUUUUAAUAUGGUUUUGAAUACUACCUUAUUUCAGGAAGGUAGAGACUGUGGACUAGUUAAAUGGAUUGAUCCUGCUUGGCCCAAUACCCUUGAGAAUGCAUUGCACAAGUUAUGGUUGAUGUAUGAAAACAACAAGAGAUAGAGGGCUGAGGACACUCUGAUGAAUUCUUUUGAAGUUCAUAACCUGACACAAGAGAAGAAAAAGUUGCAGGCCAGCUAUGAGAAGCUGGUUGAAGAUGUCAAUGCACUUGUGAAUGCCCAACAACGUAGGGUAGAGAUAGAAAAGACAAAUGCUGAUACCAAGAAGUUGGAGGAGAAGUAUGAGAUGGUGAAGAACCUGGCAGCUGCUCAGGCCAGUGUCAUUAGGAACAUGAAGCUCAAGCUAGCUGAAGAGAGGAAGAACUUACAAAUCCAAAUUGAUGAGCUGCAGAAGAGUGUUGAAGAGAGCAAUGUGAAGCUGCAUGAGAGCAAUGUGAAGCUGCAGGAGAGCAAUUUGAAGCUGCAGGGGAUCAAGGCCAUCCUAAAUGAAUGAUCACCUAGCUGUGGAAGAGGGCACUAUCAUUUGGCAUUUGCUUACCUUUUGUAUGGUGUGGUUGGCUGUGCUGUAAUGAGAUUAUGGUUUUAAUUUCCUGAACUAUGGAUCUGUAAUGUACUAAUCUAGUACUAUGAUUAUCUAUGGAUUUGAAUUAAUGCUAAAUGUGAUGGUAUUUAGAGUAUUUGGAUGAAAUAUGAUCUUUUUAGAAUUUAUGUAUUUGAGCCAUCAAAUAGGGUUUGUAGCCAUCUUUGGGGGUUUUGUCGACAUCUAGCCUUCACUAGGGUUUUUAGGCAUCUUUGAUGAUUUUGUCGACGUUUAGCCAUCAAAUAGGGGUUUUAGGUAUCUUUGGGGGUUUUGUCGACAUCUAGCCUUCAACUAGGGUUUUUAGGCAUCUUUGAUGAUUUUGUCGACGUCUAGCCAUCACCUAGGGUAUUUUGGCAUCUUCGAUGGUUUUGUCGACAUCUAGCCUUCACUAGGGUUUUUAGGCAUCUUUGAUGAUUUUGUCAACAUCUAGCCUNNNNNNNNNNNNNNNNNNNNNNNNNNNNNNNNNNNNNNNNNNNNNNNNNNNNNNNNNNNNNNNNNNNNNNNNNNNNNNNNNNNNNNNNNNNNNNNNNNNNNNNNNNNNNNNNNNNNNNNNNNNNNNNNNNNNNNNNNNNNNNNNNNNNNNNNNNNNNNNNNNNNNNNNNNNNNNNNNNNNNNNNNNNNNNNNNNNNNNNNNNNNNNNNNNNNNNNNNNNNNNNNNNNNNNNNNNNNNNNNNNNNNNNNNNNNNNNNNNNNNNNNNNNNNNNNNNNNNNNNNNUGUCGACAUCUAGCCUUCACCUAGGGUAUUUUGGCAUCUUCGAUGGUUUUGUCGACAUCUAGCCUUCACUAGGGUUUUUAGGCAUCUUCGAUGGUUUUGUCGACGUCUAGCCAUCACCUAGUGUAUUUUGGCAUCUUCGAUGGUUUUGUCGACAUCUAGCCUUCACUAGGGUUUUUAGGCAUCUUCGAUGGUUUUUUGGCAUCUUUGAUGGCUUUGUCGACAUCUAGCCUCAUCAUCACAAAAUGUAUGAUAAACUCAUCAUCACAAAAUACCAGAAAAGAUGUAUGAUAAACUCAUCAUCAUCACAAAAUGUAUGAUAAACUCCUCAUCAUCACAAAAUGUAUGAUAAACUCAUCAUCACAAAAUACCAUCGAAGCAUUAUAGUAUCACAACUUAACUUAAACAUCUCAACUACAUGACCAUCAUCACAACCAAACUGAUCAAAUUGACAGUAUUUUGACACAACCAAACUGAUCAAAUUGACAGUAUUUUGACACAACCAAACUGACCAUCAUCACAAGAGUUUUCACACACCUAAAAUGCAUCAUUCUCAUGGAGCACCUGAAGCAGUCAAGUAAUCUCUAAUUUUCUGGGUGGGCUUCCUGAUUCUUUGGGAAACACCAGUUGGCCUUGGAGGCAAGAAAGAUGCCCUUGCUCCCUUUGCAGCAGCUGAAGAUCUAGUUACUGCUGUUUUACCCUUUGCAGCAGAUGAUGAACUACCAGCAGCUGUCCUCAGUGGUGGUGCAGCAGAAGUGGCCCUCUUCUUUGGUGGUCCAGGUGCUGUUGCAGAAGUAGAAGAUGCCCUCUUCUUUGGUGGUCCAGGUGUUGUUGCAGAAGAAGAAGAGGCCCUCUUCUUUGCUGGUCCAGGUGCUGUAGCAGAAGAAGAAGAUGCCCUCUAUGCUGGUGAUGGUGCAGUAGCAGCAGCACCAGCAGCAGAAGAGGCCCUCCUUGCCGGUGAUGGUGCAGUAGCAGCAUCACCAGCAGCAGAAGAGGCCCUCCUUGCUGGUGAUGGUGCAGUAGCAGCAGCACCAGCAGCAGAAGAGGCCCUGCUUGCUGGUGUGGCUGCAUCAAGUUCAUAGGAGCUGCUGCUUGGCUACAAAAAGAUUAAGUAGUGUAAGAACAGGAAGAUGAAUUCAAAGCAGCAGCAAAUAGUCAAUAUUAGGACAUUGGUUACCUCAUGCAUAUUCUUUCUCAUUGCCAGUGAUGGAUUCAAAGCAACAUUACAGUUGGUGUAUCUAUGGCCAACCUUUUUGCAAUUAGAGCAGGUAAUUGAGGCCAUUCUUGAGGUGUCUUUGGGAGCUGGCUUCUCAUAUUGGCCCUUUCUCCUCUUAGUCUAUGCCCUUCCCUUGUGUUCUUUGAAAAUUGGAGCCUCAAUGUCCAUACUGUCUGUCCUUGGCCACAUAUCAGGUCCAGGUACAGGAUAUAUAAUGGGACUGUAAGCUACCAGGUACAUCUUUUUUUUGAAGAAAUCAUGAACAAAGUCCUCUGGCUGAAGCUUAGCCUUGUGUAUGGCAGAAAUAUCAUGAUUGCAAGGAACUGCUGUCAUAUCCCACUUCUUGCACCCACAAGUCCUAUGUUGUAGGUUCACAUCAUAAGUUCUCUCCCCACUAGUGACUUGGUAAAGAUUGGGCCCAGCCAUCAAAGCAUGACAAUUCCUUGCAAACUUCUUUGCUUCCUCUAAUUUCUCAGCAUAUGUUGGACAAAUUUCCCAUCUUACAAUCUCAGUCUUUGUUCUAUUUGCAUCGAACUUGACCAUUAACUUUGUCCUAAUUCCAUCCACCAUGGUCCUAAUUGGUUUAGCCCUGACAUCUAGAAUCCACUUGUUGAAAACCUCACUUAUAUUGUUAACAACUAAGUCUGUUUUGCAGUUCAUAUCCAUUGCAUGUCUGGCCCAAGUGUGUUUAGGUAUUUUGCUUAGCCAUUCCCAAGCAGCCUCACUCUCAUUCUUUAAUGCAGCCAUUGCAGUUUUAAAACCAUGUUCAGUAUAUGAAUAACUAGCUGCAUCCAUGUAUUGCUUUAAUUCAGGCCCUCUAAACCCAGCAUUUUGAAAGUUCUGGUAGAUAUGUCUAAGACAAAACCUUUGGGGACAAUUGGGAAACACUCUGGUAAUGGCUUUUAAAAGGCCCUGUGUGUACAAUAAGUAAAUACAAAAAAGUAAAUACAAGAGAGUAAAUAAAGAAAGUAAAUAAAGAAAGUAAUUACAACUGAUUACCUUCUGCCUAUCUGAAAUUAUUGUGUAGUUCCCAAACUUCCCAGAUUCUCCACCUAAUGCUUGUCUCAACUGAUAUAAAAACCAGGUCCAGGUGUUAGUGUCCUCCUUAUCAACAAUUCCAAAAGCAAUGGGAAAAAUAUUAUUGUUCCCAUCUCUUCCAGUUGCAGCUAGAAUUUGUUGACUAGUAGUGAGCUUGAUGAAACAACCAUCCAGACCUACAACAAAUAAAUGAAAUCACAAUUGAUUAGCACAUGAAAUCAAACAUUAGUAGCACUUAGCACAAAUAUUAUUGACUUACCUAUGAAUGCUCUGCAGCCAUUGAGAAACCCUUCUUUGCAUCCAUUCAAGCAUAUGAACAGUGCAUGAAACCUAGGGUUAGUGCUUGGAUGCUCCUUCAGAUAUCUUGUUGUCACAAUGCAUCUUGAACCUGGAUUUGUAUCCAACAUAGCCUGUAAAUAAUCCCUAAUCCUAGUGUAUUGGGCUUUCUGGUCUCCUAACACAACAGCCUUUGCUGCCCUCUUUGCCCUGUAUGCCAUGUGUGUUGAUAUGUCCACACCAUACUUGCUCUUUGCCGUAUUAAUAAUACUUGUGAUUAUUGUGCAUGGGUCAUUUCUGAUAGCCUCCUCACAGAAUUUUGAAACCCACUUAGCAGUGACUUUAGUGUUCUCUGACAUAGAAGGGCAUGUGUGCACUAAAUACACCUUCCUAAUUGUAAAUGACUUCUCAUUUGCAAUCUGAGAAGCUGCUAUAUAGAAGGGACAUUGUUCAUCUAUGCAUUGUGCUAUCACCCUAUCACUGCAGUUUCUAUGGUAGACAAAGUUCCUGUUUUGAGCAAUGUGCAGGGUUUGAAGUGCAGUUCUAAACUGAUACACAUUUAAGAAGCAAAGAUGCUUCACAAAUUGCUCCUCUGGAUGAGCUCUAUGCUCAUCAAACCAUAACCUCUUCUUCAUCUUCUUUACUCUACUUUUUCUACCAUUGGGCAACACAUAUGCCAAUGCCUCAGCACCAUCAUCAUCUUCCACACCAAGGUCUUGUGGUUUCUUGUCCUCAUCAGAUGAUGGAAUCCAGUCCUCCUCAAACAUGUGUUCUAUACUCCCAUGUGAAUUGCUUGUUGGGCCUUUUCUUUGUCUCUUGGCCCUUCUCUUGUUUGGUACAUCUUGCCCUAGCUCAUCCUCUUGUUCCUCUUCCUCCAAUUCCUCCUCCUCUACAUCCUCUUCUUCACCUUGUGGCACAUACAGCUCAUCAUCCACCUUUGAGUCACACAUUUCAUCAACAUCUGUGUCCCAUUCAAAAUGAAGUUCUGGGUCAUUCCUCUGUCUUCUCAUCUCCUCAAGCCUAGCUAAGAUAUCACCAUAUUCUACUAGAUCAUCAUCAUCACUAUCCUCUUUAUUGUCCAUCACUGCUGCUUUCCUGUUCAAACAAGUCUCCUUCACUCUUUCCUUCUUGUUCAAACAAGUCUCCUUCACUCUUUCCUUCUUGUUCUUCCUAAACAUUUCAAUUUCAUUUCUCCUUUUCUCCUCCAUUUCUUGCUCUAUUAACAGUUGCUCCUCUGAAUUGUCAGUCACAUGGUAUUCUUCCACUACUGCAUCACCUAAAGCAGGUUCCAGACUCACAUUUAUUCUGCUCUGCUGUGUGUCAAACUGCAAGGGCAUUGGCUCUUGUUCUCCUCCUGCAUCACAACUCUCAGCUUCUACAUGCACAUUUUCAGUAUUGAACAACACUCCUUCAUCAUCAAUCUGAUACAGUUUGGGCUCUCCAAUUUGUUCUAUUGGGCUCUGCAUCUCAAUGACAUUAACACUGGUAUUUAUAUUGGGAACUUUCUCUGCACUGGCCCUAACUAUUGUCACAUUCAAUGUCUUGUUAUUCUGCUCUGCUAUGUGGUCUAAAAUUUCCUCUAACUUAUCAUCAUCAUCUAUUUCUUCCAUUCCUUCAAUCCCUAGCCCAGGGUCCCUCACAUAAUACAUAUAAUCUCUAAAACCAUACCCUUCUGUCUCCAUCAGUGCUACCAAAUUGUAAUAUGUGAUGUCUGACAUCAUCAUACUCCUUCCAAUAUUAUCUCUAUCAUGAAAAUGCAUCCUCAAUUCCCAAACCUCAUCUUCAAGACUGCAAAUAAUAAUGCAAUAGUGCACUAUAAGUACUUAAGGGAAACUGAAGCAAGCUAGUGCAGACCAGAGCAGAACAUCAUUUGAGUGCAACAAUUCAUAUCCUUUUAUUUACAGAAACCCUAGUUGUAAGCAUCUAAUUAAAGAACUAUAUCAUUCUAAUUAUAGAACUAUAACACACACAAACCCUAGAACUACAUUAACCCUAACCCUAGCAACAGAAGGGGAAUGUGAUUAGGGAAGGGAAUGGGAUUGGGAUCUCACUAGACGCCGCCGAAAGCUGAAGCAAUGUGCUGGCUUCCAACUGGAUUUGCCUUCACCGCCGCGGCGAAAGAUCUGUCUGCCCUGAAUUCCACCGAGUACUGCGGGUCCUCCUCCUCCUCUUCUUCUGCCGUCGCCUUCGUAGGGUUCGAGCUCCCGCACAUCUCGCAAGUGGACGGCUGGGCGCCGCUACCAGCAUCGCUCGACUUCGCCGGACUCAUGGCUGCGACGGGGGGCGGGGACGGUGCGCCGCACGAUCGGGAACAGGGGAGAAGAAGGGGGAAACGGGGGAAGAAGACGGGGGAAACGAGGGAUAAGAGGAAACAGAACGAACGGCGCCGUCUAACGGCGUCUAACGGCUGUCGGACCAGCUGACAACGCCAUGUCGGCAAAAACCGGGCCCCACCUGUCAUAAAUCCACAUAUCGGUGUCCGAUCCGCCGACCAAUGGUAUUUGCAAAUUGUUUACGGGAGAGUUGGUGUUUUUUGCCAAGAAACUGUAACGUAGUGAUUUCUGCUAACCUAGCCCUCAAACUGGUGGUUUUCUGCAAUUUACUCCAUGAACAAUGGUUGCCGCAUAUGAAACCGACAUCGAAAGUAGCUUUUGAAUAUCGCAUCAAGGGCAAAGUAGUCAUCAUACAGAUUCAUAUGCCCCAAUGCCCCAUUCUAAUUCAACACUCGAUGCCCCUUUAUUGAAGCCUUGGAGUUGAGAACAUGCCCCUCCCCAUGCUUCGUUUCUUUAAGAAUCGCCCUCAUCAUUAUUGUCUCAUCCUCAUCUUCGUCAUCAUCAAACAAAGACAAAUGAAUGAGCUCGGCAUAGAAGUACUGCUUGUCCAAAUCCAUCAUAUUUGUUUCAAAAGUAAGCAAUGAGAAGUUAAAAAAAAUUGCACUAGGCAUUUGUCUGAAUACUUGUUGGGCGCGGUAUUUGCCAUGGACGGCGUCAGCAAGGGUUGGAGGGUACCUGGGCGGCAACCAGAUCCGAGGGAGUACAUUGUCGGUGUCCGACAAGGCUUGGGCGGCGCCUAGGGGCUACGACAGUGGCGACGGACUCCGGGAGCAUGAGAUGAGAUAGAGAGCGGCAAGAGGAGAGCAUGCCGUGAAAUUGCAUGGGCUCCAAGUGGGGUUUUGGGUGGAUAUGAAGUUGCAGAGUCCGACAUAGACGUCCGGAUUCCCUAGAGCUCCCCUCGUAUUAGAGUUGGCUUGUGCAAUUGCGGACGUUCAGACCAGCCUGUGCCAAAUUGGUGAUCCGCGUUGGAUGGCUAAAACUGUACAAGCGGCCUGGUCCGGAGAGUUGAGGCACCUUGAAGAUCCGUAUUGGAGAUGCCCUAAACAUCGGGUCUCUUCCACGAGGCAUUACCAGGAGCAAGGGUGGAGCCCAGAUUUGAGAUUAUUUUGAGGGGGGGAGGGGAGGGGGUGGGUCCGGGGGUGGCAAGACACAACAAGCAAAAAAAAAAAUCUUGCAUUGCAAACAUGAUAAUUAUUUCAGACCGGAAUAGACUGCUUGGAAUAAAAAUACGGAUUACACCUUUUAUGAAAGUAUGAAAACUUUUUCAGAUUUAAAACAGUACUGGGCUAAACACACAUAAACUCAAUCGGUACAAGUUUCAUAUAGUAUGUAAAAGCAGUUACUACAGCAUCAGUCUUGAUUUGGCAACAUCUCACGCACGACGGGGGUUGCGAUUGUUGGGUCAAACCUUGUCUCGGAGGCAUGCAUGCAGCGGCAGCAGCAGCAAAUACUUUGCUAGGAAGUAUUGGGCAUGUCGGCAGCAUGCAGCACCAGCGGCAGCAGUAAAAGAGGAGAGAAGUUACUUCAGUUGCCGUAACUUAGUAGCUAAGCAAAUGCUAGAUGUAAGCAGUGACGUGUCAUAGGAUAUGACGUAUGUGCUUAGAUCAAUUAGAACAGUAGGUCGGUUUGUAAGUGCUAUAUAAAGAGCACCACUCCACCCAGUUGGAGAAGGCCAUUCCAAUUUCAUUACAAGGCAUUUCCUCCUUCUAGUACCACCGUGUGUGCUCCAAGCCUCAAGUGCUAUGUACUAGUACUACUACUACUACUACGUGUGUGUGUGUGAUACACUAGUGAGUGUGUGAGUAGUACGUGUGUGUGCUCAUCCACCGGUCAUCUAUCAGUGUACUCGAGUGCUAGCGAGUAGUUCUGGGCUGACAAUUGGCAUCAGAGCCUCUGGUUGUGGUAGCCAUGGCCGGUGGUAAAGGAGUUCAGCAGCGCACCACCUCGGGUGGUUCCCAGGCGCGGCCAUCACAGGACGGCUCCCAGUCGCCGGCUCCGGAGGAGCGGCGAGGGCGCAGCCGCUCCAGGCGCGGCCAUCGCGGUGAGGUCGUGGUUAGGGAGGUCGUGCGCGAGACCGCGGUCAGUGGUAGCGUACCCAUCACCUUCCCGAUGCUCACACGCUCGAACUACAGCGAGUGGGCGUUGAUCAUGGAGUGCAACCUCCAUGCGGCGAGCCUCUGGGCUCCUAUGGAGGACGACCUGGUGGAGAGAAAGGAGGACAGGAAAGCGGUGGCAGCACUCAUGCGCGCCACGCCGCCGGAGAUGCACGGCAUGCUCGCGGCGAAGGCAAGCGCCAAGGAGGCGUGGGAAGCCAUCCGUACCCAGCGCCUCGGCAGCAACCACGUGCGCGAGGCGAACGCGCAGAAGCUGCGGGCGGACUUCGAGAACAUCGCCUUCAAGGAGGGCGAGCUCGUCGACAACUUCGCCAUGCGGAUCUCCAGCCUUGCGUCACAGCUCCGCGCGCUCGGCGACACCAUGGACGACGCGAGAGUCGUGCGGAAAUUUCUCCGCGUCGUUCCAUCUCGUUUCGCUCAGGUAGCGGUCUCCAUCGAGACUUUGCUUGACCUGAGCGAGCUCUCCAUCGAGGAGCUCACGGGCCGGUUGCGGGUGGUCGAGGACCGCCUUGAUGACGGCCGCGAGAGCUUCGGCGGCGGACAACUCCUAUUCUCGAAGAAGUGGGAGGCGAGGAAGCGUCAAGGACGUGGUGGCGGUGCCCAGAGCAGCGGAGGCGGCACCGGCAGAGGCGGCGGUCGCACCCAGGGUGGAGCCGGACGAGGUGCCGGCAACGACGACCGAGACAAGUGCCGAUAUUGCAGCAUCAAGGGCCACUGGGCCCGUGAGUGCCACAAGAGGAUGGCUGACGAGGAUGCCGCGGCCGCGGCGAACCUCGUCGAGGCUGAAGAAGACGGUGGGCCAGCAAUGAUGAUGGCUUGCGUCGAGACCAUGCAGGAGGGCGGAGUGCCUCCGGCGACCAUGGUCCUGAUAAGCAUCGAAGCCGUGCAGGAGGGCGCAGCACCUCCGGCGACCACGGUGCCGACAACCGUUAAGUCCGUGCGGGAGGCACGGAGCUCUUCAAGUAAUCCCCUCUCGACAUCGGUAGCGCUCUCCUCGGCAACAACGUUCUCGGGAGGCUACGAUUGGGAGGAGAUGAAGACCCGGGUGUGGGGGAGCCACACCCCGGAAACCACGUCCCCUGCGACGCUGGUCAAGCCCGUGCAAGUUGGCACGGCAAAGGCGUACCCGACAUCCUCGGGACCCAAUAAGCCCGUGUCAGGAGGCACGGCAACGACGCAUAUGGUGGGCCAUGUCCCAACCAUGAUGCUGGUGACCAGUGAGACCGUGCAAGAGGCACGACACUCUCAGGUCGGCCAUACCCCGACAACCAGGUUCUCGGGGUUCUGCAAGCCCGUGUGGGCAACACGGCACUCUUCGACGGGCCUCAACAGCUGGGAGGCCAUGAAGAGAAGGUCAUGGGGCGGCAAGGCCUCGACCGUGACUCUGGCGACCAUCGAGGCUGUGCAGGAGGCGCGGUGCUCUAUGGUCAGCCACGCAGCAACCCUGACGCGCUCGGGGUCCAUCGAGUCCGUGCAGAAGGCACGACUCACAACUGUCGGAGGAGAUCCGACAAGCAAGUCUGAUGGGAAGAGCACCAAGGACUCCGCUACCCUGAGAGGAGCCACUCCGGUCAGUGUGGCGUCCGGCACAACGACCCCGGGAAGGGAGUUCCCGGGCAGUGCGGUGUCCGGCACAACGACCCCAGGAAGGGAGUUCCUGGGUAGUGCGAUGUCCGACAAGUCAUCCCCGAGAAGGGAGUUCCUGGGUAGCAUGACGUCCGACACGAUGACCGCGGGAAGGGAGUUCCAUGGCAUUGUGACGUCAGGAACUACGUCCCCAGGAACACUGACGCCCACAGGCGAGGUGGUUCCCGGGCAUGUCAUGUCCCCGCCAACAGCGUGGUCGGACCUGUUCGAUGCCGACAACAACGUUGGCACUCCACACAGGUUCCGACGCCCAGAGGGUUAUUCUCGGCGAGCCUGCGGGACGAUCGCAGCACUGCGAGAUCAAGAAGGACGAGCACGGCGUACGGGCUACACAAACCAUGAGAAGGCUGACAUCCCAAAGAAGGCACUUGGUCGCAUUCGGUUCCGGGAACCACGCGACAAGAUCGGGAUCAUGGAAACAAGCUCCUUCGACAAGGUUGAGGAGGAGAUUGUUGGGUCAAACCUUGUCUCGGAGGCAUGCAUGCAGCGGCAGCAGCAGCAAAUACUUUGCUAGGAAGUAUUGGGCAUGUCGGCAGCAUGCAGCACCAGCGGCAGCAGUAAAAGAGGAGAGAAGUUACUUCAGUUGCCGUAACUUAGUAGCUAAGCAAAUGCUAGAUGUAAGCAGUGACGUGUCAUAGGAUAUGACGUAUGUGCUUAGAUCAAUUAGAACAGUAGGUCGGUUUGUAAGUGCUAUAUAAAGAGCAUCACUCCACCCAGUUGGAGAAGGCCAUUCCAAUUUCAUUACAAGGCAUUUUCUCCUUCUAGUACCACCGUGUGUGCUCCAAGCCUCAAGUGCUGUGUACUAGUACUACUACUACUACGUGUGUGUGUGAUACACUAGUGAGUGUGUGAGUAGUACGUGUGUGUGCUCAUCCACCGGUCAUCUAUCAGUGUACUCGAGUGCUAGCGAGUAGUUCUGGGCUGACAGCGAUGACGGUCAAAUCACACCUGAUGGUGAAGCAGUCUCCUCGCAGCUUGGACUUCUUUAUAAUCAUCAUAUUGCCCCAGCCAGUACCCGUCGUCUCAAAGGUCCGGGUGAUGAUCGGAGCGUUGGAAUCUCUGUGUACUUUGCCAUCUUGCUUCAGCAAACUUAAGGUGAACUUUACCGUCACACCCGCCGGUGCCGCUUCUUCCCCGACGAGAUGCAAGAAGGCUGCCACAUAGCCAGGCGCCCGGCUGUCGCCGUCAGGGUAGAAAUCGAUCCACCAGUCGUAGCCCCCGACUCUGAACGUGCUCGAUGUGACGUACUUGUCGGCGCCCAUGCCGUCGAGCAGCGAGUAGUUCACCACGAACUUGUGCACCGCGGUGGUGGCCUCCGUCGUGCAUACGGACGAGGUCAUGCUUACCGGCGGCUGCGGGUGCGUCGCCCAGCAAGAGUUGAUGUUUCCCAUGGCGAACUCAACUAACGCAGGCGACGAAUCAAAGGCAAACGGGUGAGCCUGGCUCGAUCUAUCUGUUGGCUUGAGGGGAACCUGGCCGUAUUUGUAAGCUGAGGAAAGCGAAGGAGUAUACGACGAGGAUUCCAAACUGAAAACUUGAGAGUUCGGACUUUACUUCAGAGAUUGGAACGCAAAAAAAGGACUUUACUUCAGAGCCGUACACCACGAUCUAAGCUGCGGCACCUUUUAGUUGGUUCGAGUACGUGCGUGCAGAGCUCCUUAUUUCCAUUGAUCGCGUAAGCUAGCGACGACGCAUCCAUCCUAGCAUAAACCGACGAUUUGACAGACUAGGAUGGCCGCGUCGGCUAAAGCCCUUCACUGGCCGCCGUCGCCGCCCCUACACCCGUCGGACCUUGUCUUUCAGCAUUACCAUUAUCUCCGCCCAGGCGACGCAGGCGGCGAUGAUUCCGACGAGGCGACGAACUGUCCUUGCCUCCACCUCCACGACCGUCGAUCCUGAACGAGUUUUUCUCUUUGAGUCUUCCCGAACGAGCUGAUGCCCAGUAGAAGGGGGCGCGUCUAUUCCUCGCCUACAGCGAUUCCAGAGGCAGCUGCACAUGUGGCCGGCCCAGGUUCCCUGGAGGGCACAUUCUCAUUUUUUUACGUUUUACGUUUUCUGCUUUCUUUUUUUCUUUUAUUUUUGUACAUUUGUUUAUACUUUAAAAUAUUAUAAAUAUAUAUUACCAAAAAAUAUUAAAAAACAUUUGAAAAAUGUUGAACCAGUAUUUGAAAAAUGUUGAACAAGUAUUUGCAAAAUGUUGAGCACAUAUUUGAAAAAAUGUUGAUCAUGUAUAUAAAAAUGUUUAACAAAUAUUUGAAAAACAUUGACAAGUAUUUGAAAAACUGUUGAUCAUGUACACAAAAAUGUUGAAAAAGUAUUUGUAAAAAUAUUGAACAAGUAUUUGAAAAAAUGUUGAACUAAUAUUUUAAGGAAAAACCAAAAAAUAAAAAAUGGAGAAGAAAAAACAAAAUAAAGCAAAAAAUUGAAAAGGAAAAAAGAAACUAAACAAAAGGUGGACAAGAAAAAAUAAAAUGUAAAAACCAAAGACAAAACAAAAACAAAGAACAGAAAAAAAAUUGUGACAACAAAUGGAAAACCGGCUUCACACGUCACAACUACGGAACGCGUAGCAGCACUAGCUCUCCCCAAGGAGACUAGGGAUCGAGUCCCGCUUCCCGCAGUUCUCAACAUCACACAAUAAGAUACCUGAAUCUUUUGUCGUCUAAAAAAUGAUACCUGAAGAAGGUCUUGUUUUUUAACCUGAAGCUUUGAUCAAUGAAUUAAUUCGCUUGGAUCUCACGGUUACGGCGGUGACACUCUCUGUCUCCUAUUUUCCAUUUUCCGCUUUCGUACUUCUCGGUUUUUAUUCGUUUCUUAUAUUAAGUUUGUCUGAAAUUAUACUUUGGAAAGUUCGGUCAAGUUUAUAAAAGAAAAUAUUUAUAAUACCAAAUCAGUAUCGUUAGAUCAAUCAUAAAAUAUAUUUUCAUAUAUUUAUUUGGUAUUGAUUUGCCAAAAAAUAUACAUUUAUUUGGUGUUAUAGAUGUUGAUCAUUUUUUAAUAUAUAAGAUGAUAUAUAUUUGGUAUUGCACAAAGUGUUUGUGUGGGUAGUAGAUGUGAUAGAACUAUUACUUGAUGUUAUUAUUGCUUCCCUUGAUUUUUUGAUUUUUUUAUAUCUUAGCGGCAUGGUGAGGUUUUGUUAUAAAGUUUUGCCUACCCGCGGUCCUUCUAUGCUGCUAGCAAGGCCAAAGAUGUGCUUCGGUUCUUCGGGUCUCAUCUUAGUUAAGGAAGAUGAAAUUUUGCAAACUAGAGGGCUCAUAGAUGUGAUCUACACACGGGGUCACGUGUUUUGUGAAGUUUGUAUAGGGCUCGAGAUACAAAAUGACUUUUUUAAACCAGCAUGAACAUAUUUUUAAUUAGUGAUGUACACUUUUCUAAAUAUACAUGAACAUUUCUAAUACAUGGUUAACAUUUUUAAAUACACUUCAAUAUUUCUGAAAUACACAAUUGCCAUUUCUGAAUGCAGAAUACAUUUUAAUAGGUGAUAAGCCAUUUUUAAAUACAUAAUGUAUAAUUUUAAAUAUGAGAUGUACCAUUUUGUAAUACAUGAUGAAGAAAAAGGAACCGAGAGAAAAUAUAGGAAAUGAAAAGGAGGAAAAUUGAUUAUUGGUGUAUUUGUAAAACAGGAAAAAUGAAUAAAUAAAUAAAGAAACAUGGAAAGAAAAUAAAGUGCGAAAAAACCCUGGAAAAAAGAGGAGUUAAAGGGACAAAAAACAAAAAAAAAC